CUAUCGAAAUAAUUUUCUCUAAUAUCCAAUCAAUUUCUGCACGUGAUAACAUUUUAUAUAAUAAUUAUCAAAGUUGUGAACUUUUUUAUUACAAUACCCUAAGAUAACAGUCGGGGACAAAAUUAAUUAUCCUUUAUUGGAGCUUAUUUUACAAGGGAACCACAACAAAUCUGGAUACAAACACACAAUAGGAAAACAACUAUCAUAAGCCAAACCAACAUCAACCACCUAAAGAAUAAGCAGGCAGCACGGUUGCGCUACUUGACCUAUUCUCAGCUCCUAGGUAUGUCCCUUUUUCUCUCUACUCCAAUACUAAAUUUUUGCUCAUCCCUGAAGCAUGUUCAAGCACUUUCUUCUCAUCAGGAAGUGCCUUGGCAAUAGUCUCCCUCUGCAAGCAUCUCUUCACCCAAGCUUUGAACUUGGGGCACUCAGCCUCAACGCUGGACUUUCCAAAUGUCUCAUACGUGUAAUAGAAUGGGAUCAAACUCAAAUCCAAAUACCCAAAAUUGUCUCCUCCGAAGAAAGGCUUGUCUCCAAGCUGCCCUUCCAAGGUCUUCAGAGCUUCAAAGAACUCCUUCUUAGCCGCCUCCUGCUCUUCUCCCUUUGUGGUCCAUGUCUUCGUCGAAGCAUCGUACAUCUGCAAUUUACUUUCAAUAUUUGUAUCAGAAAAUCUGGCUGAAAAUGGAUAAAAUUUAACACAUUCAGGUUCCUCAUCCCUCUCAAGACAACAAAAUCAGCAACAGGUAGGUUACAGUCUUACAGCCUGCUGUAAAACUAUGUACAGGCCAAAAAACAUCCAAAAACAAUAAAGGAGCAAGUUGAAUUCUAAGCAUAUUUUAAGAUUUUCACCUAAAAAUUCAGCUUAAUCGCUUGUUUCUCUUUAAUUAUUUUCAAGACAAAAGAUUCUACUAUCUCAAAAAUAUAAAACUCCCAAAUAUCCAGCUAUUCCUUAAAAAAAAAAAAUCUAUAAACUCACACACCCACUAAAGCUGAAACCAAGAAAUAAACAUUAAGAAGGCCACUACUUACUACACUUACUACUGAAACUAGACUUUAACUGCAAAUAUUCAGCCUAAUCUGGUUUAUAGUACUCUCGCUCUGAUCCUCAUCGUUGGGCCCUUUACUGAUCUUAUGCUACAACUACAACCUACUAAAGUUUAUAAUAUCUGCAUCAUAGUGCUGUAAAAACCAAAAUCUUCAACUCUAUAGGGGACAUCUUUUCCCCCUCCGUUCAAUGCAAACCCAGUUUAUUUGUAAUCAAACAACAAAUCCAUGAUAUCUACUCGACAAUGAAAUAUUUUAAUAAAAAAAUUUCGGCUUCUAUUUUAAUAAAAUUACAAUUAAAUCUAAAAUUGAAAAAAUACCCAUAAACAUACUUCAGAAAAUCAACAACAAAGUUACCUUCUUGUCAAUGAAAUCUACCCAGAACCUAGCUUGAGCUCUCUGGUAGGGAUCAGAGGGAAGCAAUGGAGCCUUGUCCUUCCACACUUCAUCAAUGUACUGAACAAUGAUGGAUGACUCACAGACCGGUCUGCCGUUGUGGAUGAGAACCGGGAUCUUCUUGUGAACCGGGUUCAUCUGCAGAAGCAGGGGGCUCUUGUUCUUCAAGUCCUCUUCCUUGUAUUCAUACUUGACGCCUUUCUCCGCCAGAGCAAUCCUGACCCUCAUCCCGAACAUGCUGGGCCAGAAAUCCAACAGAAUCACUUCGUCCGCCAUUAUUACAGAAGCUUACUAAGAAUCAACAGUGAAUAAAUGAAAAGACACGAUAAACACGCCGAAAGUGAGGUUACGAGAGUGCAUAUUUAUAGCGAAAAGUUUGCGCUAAUCGGUUUGGACUUGGCAAAUGUUUGAGAUGGCCGUACGUGGCUAAGGCUCCGUUUGGUACAGCUUAUUAAAUAGAGCUUAUAACAGUAGAGCUUAUAGCAGUAGAGUUUAUACCAAUAGAGCUUUUGGACAAAAAGUCAUUGGGUGUUUGGUUGUCAAUAAAAAACCAAACACCAUAAGCACUUAUGACUCUUAAAUAAGCCAUACCAAACAGGCACUAAUAUUGGUCUCGUUCUAGCUCCACCUGUAAUACAACGCUGCACCACAUACAUCGUUAUUGAAUUUUUUAUUUAAAAAUUAAUUGGCCUUUGGAUCGCACUCAAAAGUAAUCCAACGGAUUAUAUUUUUUUUGGCUAAUGUUGGCUACCGGAAGUAUCAGUUGCGAUUGAUUGAGAUAUGGUAUAAAUACGAGAUUUUUUUUACCCGUUCUCUUUUCAUCUGUCUCUAAAGCUCAGGCAAUUGGGCAUUCAAUUGGUAUCCCCUUUUAAUGAAAAAAUUGAUGGUGUGGUGAGACUGGAAGUUGGUUGGCUUUCUCUGAAUCUCUUUCUCAAAUCCAAAAUUACGAAUUGAUGUUGAGAAAGAGAUUCAGAGAAAGCCGACCAACUUCCAGAAUCGUGAUUAAAUUCUCUUUCUAUAAGGUAAUUUCUUAAUUAGUUUGAAAGUUUUUCCUAUUGUCUUAUGUCUUUUUGAAGUCUGCAUUUUAAACAGAUCAAUUUAUUCUCACAAAGAAACAAUCUCAACUAACGAGACUAUGUAAGGAGAUUUCUAAUUCAAAGAAACCUACCUGUAACAGGUACGUCUUACCAAAUUACCACCAUAUCCUUUAGAAUUGUAAGUUAAACCAUUGGUAUAAUUUUUUAAUAUAGAAGAAUUUAUUAAUUGAAGGGUAUAAUCUAAUAAGCUGUGUGGGGAUAUGCUGACCGAAGGGGGAAAGAAUUAACAUGUGUUUAUAUGAUAUUCAUAUGAAGAGAAUGAAAAAGAAAAAGCUUAAAACGCAGCAAUAAAGUAUAUUGUUUAAAUAGGAAAGUAAAAUUUGGUAAAAGAAAUAGAAUGAAAUAAGUAAUUUUAAAAAAAAAUUGUUAUAGGUUUUAAUGGAUGGAUUUACAAUGUUUUACAUAGAUGGCAAGUCACAAAUUAGUAUUUUUUUAAAAUUAGUAUGAGAAGAGCUUUUGAGAAGUCAUAUGUAAAUUUUUUUAAUCUUUAUUACUUUUGUGACAGUUGAGGAAACACACUAGGAAAACCAACAGAGAACUUUCAGCAGAACAUAAGGCAAGUCACAAAAAGCAAUGUGAAAGGAUUGGUUGUGCAGAUGCAUAUUCGGAUAACAAUGAAUCAAAAACUAUUAAGGUAGAUAAGUUCACCUUGGAAACUAGGUGUGCGCCUGACCGAUUUUGUUCUUUUGUUGGUAACUUAUCGGAAGACAAGAAAAAUGCAAUAAGAGAUAUAGGAUUUGGAAGCCUACUUUAAAUCCAAUGUGGUCGACUGAGGAGGCAAUUAUGUCGUUGGUUGGUGGAUCAAUUCAAACCUGAAUACAACAUUAUUGAACUUCAUGGUCAAAAUUUGAAACUGUGCCACAGAAAAUUUUCAGAUGUCAUGGGUGUAAAUGAUGGAGGUAUACCAAUACAAUUGGGUGGACCAAGUGAAAAUAUUACUGAAUUACGAGAUAUUUUUCAAUCAACAGUCAAAGGGAUCAACAUCAAGACGCUUGAGGAUAUUAUAAAGCAAGAAGAUAAAACCAGCUGGAUUUUCAAGGUUUGUAAUAAAGUUGAUUUUGGCACAUUUAUGCAUACACCCAUUAUUAUAUUAAAUCAUGAAUAUCUGUUAUAUUUCUUUCAUAUUAUAUUAUAUUCUGAUACCAUUUGUAUUUUUCUAUAAUAUUUGCAUGCAUAAUUGUAUAAAACAUUUAAGUUACUGUGAAAUAUGAGCACAUAUCAGCCAUUUAUCAAACUCAUUCAUGUUUGCUAUUGUUCAUUUUACAAAUAGUAGUUUUGAUAUGAGCAGGUUGCGUUUACUUUGUUUGCACUAGCCACGUUGUUAUGCCCAACAAGUGGUUAUAUAUCACAUUUGUUCUUGCAUCCGUGCAACGAUGUUCUCAAUGUUAAAUCACUUAAUUAGUUACAAAUAGUAGUUUUAGUAGUUUUGAUAUGAGCAGGUUGCGUUUACUUUGUUUGCACUAGCCACAUUGUUAUGCCCAACAAGUGGUUAUAUAUCGCAUUUGUUCUUGCAUCCGUGCAACGAUGUUCUCAAUGUUAAAUCACUUAAUUGGGCUUCAUUUUGUUAUAAAUGGCUGGCAAAAUCCAUUGGCAAAUAUAAGAAUCGUGAAACUACAUAUGUUGGGGGAUGUCUUCUUUUCCUACAGGUAAGAUGAUUUUCAUAAUUGAAUUUUAGCAUUUUUCUGGCCAUGGAUGGCUGUUUAUACGUAUUUUCUUAACUAUAAUCUGUUUAUACAGAUUUUCUUAACUAUAAUCUGUUUAUACAGAUUUUUUACCUCCAUAAUGUUGCAUACAACUGCAUUCAGCCUAAUGGGACCAAAACUCCUGUGACAUUCUGGAAAGAAUCAAUGGUGAAGAGGUUCAUGAAGUGGUUGAGAUCUCAGGGAGGGAUUGGAAGUAAUAAGGUAAAUUUUAUUGUAGAGUGCUUAUCAUUAUAAUUACCAUAAUAAUGUGUGAGAAAUGGGAUUAUCCUUAUUUUUUGAGAUCAUUUAUCUGCUCAAUUAAACAGAUUCAUAUGCGUACCAUUGAUACCGGUGAAGCUUCUCGAUCAAAAGCUGUUAGACAUCUCAAUUUUGAAGAAAUAAUUCAGAAACAAAUACUUUCAAUCAGGGUACUGACAUUUAAGGUUGAUUAUCUAUCUGAUGCGAUAUCUGACCAGACUAAAAUGCUAAAAGAAUUGCUACAUCAAAGGCAAAUUAUGGAUUGAGUUGCCCGUCAUGUCCAUCAUCCUACCACAGAUAACAUUAAAACUCCUUCCCACGAGUUUGUGUCUGCGCAAGAAAAUAAUGUUGGGGCUGAGUUUAUUGAAAUCUCAUCAAAUGAAAGUUCAGCCCGAGGUUAUGAUAAGAUAAACUCUCCUUAUGAUGGCUCCAGCUUAAAAACAAAGGAACGACCAUUAUAUCAAAUAUUGAGGACAUUAGAAAUGGCUAUGGAUUGUGAAAAGACAGAUGCAUUACCCUCAAAGAAAAUAGAAAUGUCCAAGGGAAAACAAGAACUGAUUCUUAAGGAUUCUAAGGUAUUAAAGUGUCUUUGUUACUGUUGUAUUGAUAUUUAUCAUAAUUGUAUGUUGUGACAUUACCUCAGAAUAUGUGAAUUUUAAUUUUUUUUCUUUUGUAGGAGGGUCUUGUGAUGAUACAAUCAACUGCAAAGGGAAUGCAUAUUCAAACUUCUAAAGAAAAGAAUGUCAAUCUCAAGUCUACCCAACCCCGAUUUUUGGCUGGUCCAUUUUCAGUUCCCACUCCAUUUACCGAGGAUGAAAAAAAGCUUAUUCUUUACCUUUUUGACGACAAGUUGGCUGAAAUGUAUGGUCUAGUAAUAAUGAAAUGUUUUUGUAAAUGGCUAGAUUGUUUCGAAUAUAGAUAUAAAUCUCUUAAUCUUGCUUUUAUUCAUUGUAAUAAUGUUGUUUUUUCAUGAUAAAAGGAUGUUGUCGUCCGUACAGAAUACAGCAGCAUAACACGGAGCAGUAUGCGUUCCCUCCUGCCGAGAGCAUGGAUUGAUGGUGAUGUAAUACUCUAUGCCUACUAUGUAUAAUAUUUAGGAUUCAUUCAAUACUAAUGAUGCCAUUAUUUUCAAUUAGUAUAUAUGUGCAUAUCUCUUAACUAAUGUUCCACUUUGGUCGCAACUGUUAAAAAAAAUUUCAGAUUAUUACUAUGUACGCAGAGUACAAGACUAUUGAAGAGGCCCAAAAGGAUAUCACCUCUCCUCGAUGUUGGUUCUUGCCGUCAUAUUAUUCCGUAAGAUAACCAGAAAUUAAAUAUUUUUAAUUCAAUCAUUACUCUUUAAAUGAGAUCAUGUAGAAUGUCAACUAACAAAAUGUUUUUAUUCUUUUAAUUUGUGCCACUUAAAUUUAAAGCAAGUUGUAUUGGGUGACUCGGGUGAUCUAAACCCCUAUCGUCGAGCUUCCAGGUUCCAAGAGCGCUACAUGCCCCAGUUGGAAACUUGUGAAAAGGUUCAGCGCAUAACAUGAAUUUUUUUAAUGAACUUUUUGUGGUUUGUAUUUUUACAUAGUUCCUUGGUAUCUAAUCAGUCAUUGACAAUUGUAUGUUCUUAGGAGGAUUGACUACAUUUGUGCGUUAGUCGGAAUUUGAUUAAAUAACAUUCUAAAUUUUGUUAACACUUAUUCUGGUUGAUGUUGGCAGCUCGCCUCACUGGAUUUUUUGCUACUUAGAGAGGCUCGACUUCGUUUUGGUUCAAAUUUCAAUUUUCUGCAUUUUCAACUUGGUCGUCAAACUGGUCUGCCACAACAGCCAAAUGAUUUUGAUUGUGGAUACUAUACCUUGAAAUAUAUGGACAAUCCCUCUAUUGUUGCUGACCAGUCUUAUCAGGUAUAUGCUUUUUUUUUCAAUCUUGAACAUUGAUGAUUCUGAUAUUUAGUUCAUGAUCAAUGCUUUCUUCAGACCAUUUAUCAGUCAUUAUGUUUAAUGAUUCUGUAUUUAGAUUAAUAACAAUGAUAACAGAGGAGUACUGCAAAGAAGUAAGAAAUAUUAAAGUUUUCUUUAUGAAGAGUACUUUUAAGGCAUAACUAGGAGUACUCGAUAAUUUUUUUUCCUUUUAAGGAUGUAUUAAGCAAGCUGUUUUUAGAAGAUAUCUAGUUUUGAAAGCAAUAAGACAUACUUUUUAGCAAGUAAACAAGCACCUAAAAAUGUGAAUUGUUAAAAAUCUGCAUACGUAAAAGGCUAAGUAUUUAUAUUUAAGAAGUGUUAUUAUAUGUUGCAAGUCAACUACCUUUUGUGAAAAAAUAAGCUUGCUGCUAGUAAUUAGGUAGCAAGAGCGCUACAUGCCCCAGUUGGAAACUUGUGAAAAGGUUCAGCGCAUAACAUGAAUUUUUUUAAUGAACUUUUUGUGGUUUGUAUUUUUACAUAGUUCCUUGGUAUCUUUUUCAUUUUACUAACCUGAUAACAAAACAUUUUGCCAAUAAUUGUAUUUACUCUCCUACAACUGCAGAUUUAUGUGCCCGUACAUUGUGAAGCUCAUUGGUACAUGCUUGUUAUUGACAUUCUUCGUCAAACUGCUGAUAUUUGGGAUUCAUUGGAAUCUCUCAGUCAAAGAGAAAAAAUGAUUAAUCAGUCAUUGACAAUUGUAUGUUCUUAGGAGGAUUGACUACAUUUGUGCGUUAGUCGGAAUUUGAUUAAAUAACAUUCUAAAUUUUGUUAACACUUAUUCUGGUUGAUGUUGGCAGCUCGCCUCACUGGAUUUUUUGCUACUUAGAGAGGCUCGACUUCGUUUUGGUUCAAAUUUCAAUUUUCUGCAUUUUCAACUUGGUCGUCAAACUGGUCUGCCACAACAGCCAAAUGAUUUUGAUGGUGGAUACUAUACCUUGAAAUAUAUGGACAAUCCCUCUAUUGUUGCUGACCAGUCUUAUCAGGUAUAUGCUUUUUUUUUCAAUCUUGAACAUUGAUGAUUCUGAUAUUUAGUUCAUGAUCAAUGCUUUCUUCAGACCAUUUAUCAGUCAUUAUGUUUAAUGAUUCUGUAUUCAGAUUAAUAACAAUGAUAACAGAGGAGUACUGCAAAGAAGUAAGAAAUAUUAAAGUUUUCUUUAUGAAGAGUACUUUUAAGGCAUAACUAGGAGUACUCGAUAAUUUUUUUUCCUUUUAAGGAUGUAUUAAGCAAGCUGUUUUUAGAAGAUAUCUAGUUUUGAAAGCAAUAAGACAUACUUUUUAGCAAGUAAACAAGCACCUAAAAAUGUGAAUUGUUAAAAAUCUGCAUAUGUAAAAGGCUAAGUAUUUAUAUUUAAGAAGUAUUAUUAUAUGUUGCAAGUCAACUACCUUUUGUGAAAAAAUAAGCUUGCUGCUAGUAAUUAGGUAACAACCACUGGAGUCGUGAACUAUGUGGACUUUGUUAUUUUUAUAUAAAUUCAUCUUGUGAGCAUAUAGAAAUUGUUGUAAUUAGUGUUUCUUUUUUGUUAGCACGAUUCGGAUUAUGCUCGCAUCCUGUUGGCACUCUAUCUAGCACAAUCUCCACUUAAUCAUAGAAGCUCAUUGGUACAUGCUUGUUAUUGACAUUCUUCGUCAAACUGCUGAUAUUUGGGAUUCAUUGGAAUCUCUCAGUCAAAGAGAAAAAAUGAUUAAUCAGUCAUUGACAAUUGUAUGUUCUUAGGAGGAUUGACUACAUUUGUGCGUUAGUCGGAAUUUGAUUAAAUAACAUUCUAAAUUUUGUUAACACUUAUUCUGGUUGAUGUUGGCAGCUCGCCUCACUGGAUUUUUUGCUACUUAGAGAGGCUCGACUUCGUUUUGGUUCAAAUUUCAAUUUUCUGCAUUUUCAACUUGGUCGUCAAACUGGUCUGCCACAACAGCCAAAUGAUUUUGAUUGUGGAUACUAUACCUUGAAAUAUAUGGACAAUCCCUCUAUUGUUGCUGACCAGUCUUAUCAGGUAUAUGCUUUUUUUUUUUUCAAUCUUGAACAUUGAUGAUUCUGAUAUUUAGUUCAUGAUCAAUGCUUUCUUCAGACCAUUUAUCAGUCAUUAUGUUUAAUGAUUCUGUAUUUAGAUUAAUAACAAUGAUAACAGAGGAGUACUGCAAAGAAGUAAUAAAUAUUAAAGUUUUCUUUAUGAAGAGUACUUUUAAGGCAUAACUAGGAGUACUCGAUAAUUUUUUUUCCUUUUAAGGAUGUAUUAAGCAAGCUGUUUUUAGAAGAUAUCUAGUUUUGAAAGCAAUAAGACAUACUUUUUAGCAAGUAAACAAGCACCAAAAAUGUGAAUUGUUAAAAAUCUGCAUAUGUAAAAGGCCAAGUAUUUAUAUUUAAGAAGCAUUAUUAUAUGUUGCAAGUCAACUACUUUUGUGAAAAAAUAAGCUUGCUGCUAGUAAUUAGGUAACAACCACUGGAGUCGUGAACUAUGUGGACUUUGUUAUUUUUAUAUAAAUUCAUCUUGUGAGCAUAUAGAAAUUGUUGUAAUUAGUGUUUCUUUUUUGUUAGCACGAUUCGGAUUAUGCUCGCAUCCUGUUGGCACUCUAUCUAGCACAAUCUCCACUUAAUGAUAUUAGGCAUAAACUCAUGCAAGAUGCUUCCAAUGGAUAUGGAAAGUGUAGUGCUGCUGACUCGCAAAGGGCCCCUUGUAAACAAACUUCAGAAUUAAGAAAAGCUGCCAGAAAUAUUAAUCUUAACCAGACACCGUCCGAGGCUUUAUUAAAAACAUUACUAUGAUCUCUAAAGGUAUGUUAAGUCGCUUGUCAUUCCCAUUUUUGAUCUUAUGUCCUAUGCUUAUCAAUUGUUAUUAAGUUGUUUUUUCUAUUUCUUUUAGUGAGUUAUGAUGUUUUUGGUAGACCAAUUAAACUUGUUAUUAAUCAUCUGCUUGUGUUUUGAACUAGGUGUCACUACACUUGGAAUGGCAGCUUUUAUAUUUUGGUAUUCGAAACCAUUUUGUUUUUGAAUAUUUUUGUAACAACACCUUUUUUGUAUAGCAUAUACUAAUCAUUUUUUGGUUAGGUAGUCGAGUAACUGUUUAUUAGAACCUUUGUCAGUUCAUUCACCUAAAGAAGCAGAUGAGCCAUGUGUGGCCUUAGAAGAUGGUGUUGUAGAUGCAUUUCGUGCUGCUGGAUGCCCUCUUAUUUUUUUGUGUCCGAGGGUAGUGUAUUUAGGUUGCAUAUUCUGACCAUUUGUUAUUAGGCACUAUCGGUCAGAGAUGGCUAAUUGUAGAAACUUGAUAUGUAUUUAGGGCUAUAUCUCUGUUAAUUCUUCUCUAUUAUAACUGUCUUAAAAUUCCAGUAAAAUUACUUAUUGAAUUUUUUGUAGCUUAAAUUUGGUUUUGUUUUGUUUCAGAUUUUGAUGAAUUAUGAUGUUGAAGGGUUUCGACUCUUUUGUAAUCUACUUUGCUUUGACUAAUGAUGUUCAAUCCUACAGACACGUAGAAAUUGAUAUUUUUAUUUCCCGCCUCCAUUUUUGAUAUUUUUGAGAAGUAUUACUUGUUAAAAUUAGCAAUUAUAAAUGUUGCUAGUAAUGUCCACGGGUGCACAUAUACUUAAGAUUAGCAAUCGUCAAAAAUUUAUAUAUAUGGUUAUUGUAUAAGAUUAUUGUAAAAAUACAAUUGAUUAAAAUAUAAUUUUUAAAAUUACAUUUAAAGGAUGGAGCUUGAAACAUCGACUUAAAAUAUUGGAUUUUAAUACAAAGAGUAAAAAUAUAAAACCAAAAAGUAGUGGCAAGAACAAUCUCACCCAAAAUUCGGAACAACUGAACCAGAAUUUGAGUAAUCUCAACUGGAAGUUGAGAUUCCAAAAGUAAACUUGAAACCUUGACCUAAAAUAUUAAAAUUCAACAAAAAGAAUAUAAAUAUAAAACCAAAAAGUUGAGCAAACAAGAGUUAAAGAGGUUAACCUAAAAGUAGAAAAAACCUUACCAAGAAUUUGACAAUUUAUAACGAGAAGUAGAAAUCUAAAAACCAAACUUGUAACAUCCACUUAAAAAGUUGGAUUUUAAUAAAAAGAGUAGGAAUAUAAACCCAAAAAGUGGUGGAAAUAAGAAUUAAAGAACUUAACCUAAAAGUAAAAAAUAAAUUACCAAGAAUUUGACAAGUUUCAACGAGAAAUAGAAAUCUAAAAAGUAAAAUUGAAACAUCCACUUAAAAUGUUGGAUUCUAAUACAAAGAGUACGAAUAUAAAACUAAAAAGUGGUGGCAAGAACAACCUCACCCAAAAUUGGGAACAACUCAAUCAGAAUUUGAGUAAUUUCAACUGUAAGUAUUUUUUUUUUAUUACGAUUUCAACUGUAAGUUGAGAUACCAAAAGUAAACUUGAAAUUUCGAAGUAAACUAUUAAAAUUCAACAAAAAGAGUAUAAAUAUAAAACUAAAAAGUGGUGGAAAUCAGAGUUAAAGAAUUUAACCUAAAAGUAUAAAUAAAUUACCAGAAAUUUGAUACAUUUCAACUAGAAGUAGGGAUAAAAAAAGUAAACUUGAAACAUCGACUUAAAAUAUUGGAUUUUAAUACAAAGAGUAAAAAUAUAAAACCAAAAAGUAGUGGCAAGAACAAUCUCACCCAAAAUUCGGAACAACUGAACCAGAAUUUGAGUAAUCUCAACUGGAAGUUGAGAUUCCAAAAGUAAACUUGAAACCUUGACCUAAAAUAUUAAAAUUCAACAAAAAGAAUAUAAAUAUAAAACCAAAAAGUUGAGCAAAUAAGAGUUAAAGAGGUUAACCUAAACGUUGAAAAAACCUUACCAAGAAUUUGACAAAUUAUAACGAGAAGUAGAAAUCUAAAAACUAAACUUGUAACAUCCACUUAAAAAGUUAGAUUUUAAUAAAAAGAGUAGAAAUAUAAACCCAAAAAGUGAUGGAAAUAAGAAUUAAAGAACUUAACCUAAAAGUAAAAAAUAAAUUACUAAAAAUUUGACAAAUUUCAACGAGAAGUAGAAAUCUAAAAAGUAAACUUGAAACAUCCACUUAAAAUGUUGGAUUUUAAUACAAAGAGUAGGAAUAUAAAACACAAAAGUGGUGGAAACAAUAGUUAAAGAACUUAACCUAAAAGUAGAAAUAAAUCACCAGAAAUUUGAUAAUUUCAACGUGAAGUAAGGAUUUAAAAAGUAAACUUGAAACAUCCACUCAAAAUGUUGGAUUUUUAUAAUAAUAGUAGGAAUAUUAUACCAACAAGCGGUGGGAAGAAAACCCCAACCGAAAUUUGGAACAAGGUCAUAGAAUUUGAGUAUCUUCAACUGAAAAUUGGGAUACAAAAGUAAACUUGAAACUUCGACCUAAAAUAUUAAAAUUAAAAAAAAAGAGUGUAAAUAUAAAACUAAAGAAUGGUGGAAACAAGAGUUAAAAAUCUUAACCUAAAAAUAAAAAUAAAUUAUCAAUAAUUUGACAAAUUUCAACGAGAAGUAGAAAUCUAAAAAGUAAACUUGAAAAUUUCACUUAAAAUGUUGGAUUUUAAUACAAAGAGUAGGAAUAUAAAACCAAAAAGUGGUUGGAAGAAAAAUCUAAUCCAAAAUUGAGAACAACUCAACAAGAAUUUGAGUAAUUUAAACUGGAAGUUGGGAUACAAAAAGUAAACUUGAAACUUCGACUUAAAAUAUUAAAAUUCAACAAAAAGUGUAUAAAUAUAUAACUAAAAAGUGGUAGAAAUAAGAGUUAAAGAACUUAACCUAAAAAUAGAAAUAAAUUACCAGAAAUUUGAUCAAUUUUAACAAGAAAUAGGAAUCUAUAAAGUACACUUGAAAUGUCCACCUAAAAUGUUGAAAUUCGAUAAAAAUAGUAGAAACAAAUAACUAAAAAGUUGUGGCACAAGAGUUGAAAUUUCGACUUAAAAGUUGGAAUAACUUACUAAGCAUUAAAUAAUUUUUAAUGAAAAGCAGGGAUGUAAAAAAUUAAGCGAAAAUACUCACCUAAAAUGUUGGAAUUUAAUAAAAAGAAGAGGAAUAUAGAACUUAAGUGUGAUGAGAAGAUGAGUUGAUAAACAUAACCUAGAAAUUGGAAUAACUUACACAUAAAUUAACAAAAAAAAAAAAACCAACAAGUAGAGAUCUAAAAAUAAACUUGAGACUUCCACCCAAAAUAUUUGAAUUUUUUAAAAAGAAUAGGAAUAUAGAAUUUAUAAGUCGCAGGAAUAAGAGUUGAUGAACUUAACCCAAAAGUUGGAAUAAGUUAUAAGGUAUUUGGUAAAUUCCAAUGCGAAGUAGAGAUCUAAAAAGUAAACUAAAAACAUUUAUCCAAAAUAUUGAAACUCAAUGAAAAUAGUAGGAUUGUAAGAUAUAAAAGUUGUGGGAAAAUGAAUAGGAACAACUUACUAAAAAUUAGAUGAAGUUUAAUGGAAUGUAGGGAUAAAAAAUGUCAAAUUGAAAUAUCUACCUAAAAAGUUAGAAUUUAAUGAAAAGAGUGGAAAUAUGAAAGAAAAGACUAGUAAAAAAUGAGUUGAAAUAAGUUACGAAAAUUUAGAUAAAUGAUAAUGAAAAUUAGGAAUUUCAAAAGUAAACUUGAGACAUAUAAUAUAAGUAUUGGAAUGUAACAAUAAAAAGUCGGAAUAUGACUAUUUUGUGAUAUUUUUAUAAUAUUUUUAUAAAUUUUUAUGUUAUUUAUAAAUUUAAAAUUAUUACAAUUUUUUUUUAUCUCAUUUGAAGGAAAUUUUUUAAUUUUUCCCUUUUUUUAAAUAAAAUUUUCACAUUAAAAACAAUUAAAAUUUUUAAUUUGCAUUUAUUAACCGGUUGAAAACUGGUUGUACCGGUACCAUGCAUGCGCUGCAUGAGAUGCAGCACUGCAUGGUAGGUUGACUCGUCUUUUCUUUCCAGAAAUAUAUGAUCUUCUCCUGGCCACUUCGUGUUCAAAAUAAACAAUAAAAAAUAAAGUGAUGUUAUAAAACAUUCUAGGCUCUUCCAUCUCCAGGAUAAGUCAUUGCUUCCGUCACAAUCGCGCAAGCACCCAACUAAAUUUGUUUUGGAUAAAAGAUAUUCAUCUCAAAUUUUAUUGUAAUUGAUAUGUUAUUCAUUAAAUAUUGAUAAUUUUUCAUAAUAAUUACAUUAUCUUAUUAAUUAAUUGUUGAAUGUUAAUUGAGAUAGCUUUUGUGAUAAAAAUUUAGGUUGUGUAGCAUUAUUCAUUUUUUCACAAUAUUUUCUUUAAUGAGGAGGGCAACAACCAUUACUUAAUCAAAAUUUCAUUCCAUGAAAUUUAGAUGGCAAUUUAAGGGCUAAUUUGAUAGUAAAGUAGUUUUUAAAAUAUUUAUUGUUAGUUCUAUUAUAAAAAUAAUUAGUUAUAAAUAGAAUCAACUAACAUUUAGUUUUUUUUUUAAAUUAAAAUUUUAUUAAUAGAAAAAUGAUUACAGUGAUUUGUCUUUACAUACAGUUGGAACUUCUUCUAACCAAACUUUUUCGAUGGAAUUACAAAGAGCUAAUUUAGCGAGAUGAUGUGCAGCUCCAUUGUAAGACCGUGGAGCAAAUUUCACUUGGAAAGAACUCUCAGAGGAAGAUAAGUGAUGAGCAUAAUUUUUAUAUAUAUUACCUUUUAUUGUAUAUUUACUAGUAUUUUUAUUUAUUAUUUUUAAUUAAUUGAAUUGUUUUACUGAAUAGGGAAUUAAUUUGAGAUUAUGAAUAAAAAAUGCAUAAAAGAUCCAUAAAAGAAAAGAAUUGAAGAAUUAAAGAUUAUAUUCCAAAGCUUCUACGUGAGCUUAAGAUAAUUAAAGAAAGAUUUUAUUUAGCAAUUUGGAAUGCAUGGGCUGGGCAUUAAAGGAAGAAAUCAUUAAUUGGCCUUUUGCUUUGGAAGUCAAACAUGUGGCUAGAGCAAAACAAAUAAAAAGCCAAAGCCUUUUGGCUUUAGAAUUGAAAAGGCGGGGCCUAUUUUGAAGACUAUAUAAGCAAGCUUUUGUCUUUUGGACCAAAAAAGGGGGAAGGCGCCAGAUGAAAAAGGAAACAAAAGGAGACGCGAUUCAGGAGAGAAGUCAUGAGUGAUAGCAGCUGUUCAGUUUUUAUGGCUGGUGUUAUUUAUUUUGUUACUCUCAAUUCAAGUAUAUUUAACUAAUUUUCUUAUAUUGAGGUUAAGAAUGAAAUUCUAUUAAAUAAAAUAAUUAUCUCUUUAUUUAAUUAAUUUUCUACAUGUGUGUUUUAAUAUUUAUAGUUCUUGUUUCACAUGAUUAGUUGGAUGUUAUUAAAUUCUUUUCACCAACUCUGUCAUGUAUUAUUGAUUGUGAAGAUUAAUAUUUGACUAAAUCUAUGUUUAGAUCUAUAAAGUUUAUAUAUGAUUAUCUUUGAUUUUAUGUUUUUCAUUAAAUUAUUUAUAUAAAGUGCUUAUGAAAACUUUGACUCUUUAUUAUUCAAUAUGUUUACAUGGGAUGCUUAGAUGUCAUACUAUCAAGCAGAAAAAGAACAUACAUAAAAUUAAUUUUAUUUGAGCUUAAUUGUUAUAUUUAUGAGAUGAUAUAGAUUGAUUUCGAGUUGUCACUCUAAAAUUGGGAAUUAAUUAAUAUUUAAAUAAUUACUAGUUGAAUAGUGCUGGAUUUUGAAACCUUGGUAGUUUUUGUCUUAUGGAAUUCUCAUUUGCUUUAAUUGUUUUCUUAGUUUAAUUAGUUUAAUUUUCUUAAAAACUCAAUUUGCUCAACUAGAUUUGAAUUAAUAUUAAUUUUAGAUUUAAAUUAGAUUUUUCAAUUUAUAACAAUUCACGUGGGUUCGACCUCGUUACCACUAUUCUAUUUCUAGAUUCGUGCGCUUGUGAGUAUUUUAAAUUUUUCACAACAAGUUUUUGGCGCUGUUACUGGGGAUUGUGCCAGAAAGUUAGUUUAAUCUAAGUUGAUUUGAUUCUUCAACUAGUUAUAAUUUAGGUUGUCUUUUAUUUAUUUAUUUAAUUUUUUUAUAAAAAACACAAAAAAAUUAUUAUUUUUUACUUUGAAUUCUUGUUUGGUUAUUUGAUUUCUUUUAAAUUUUGUUUAUUUUUAUUAUUGUUGUUUUAUUUUUCUUCUUUGUCUAGUUAGUUUAUGAGUGUUUGGAAACGCAAUUCAACAAAUCGUUAAGUAAAAAAAGAGUCUAAAAUUGAUAGUAGUCAAGCUAGUUCUUCUCAAGUGAUGGAUGACCCAAAUAGAAUAUUGCCAAUACUACCACCAGUGCAAGCAUAGAAAACCCCUAGAGAUUAUUUUUCACCACUUACAGCCAAUCAACCAUCUGGUAUUGUGUUGCCACAAACUACAGCAACACACGUUGAACUUAAGCCCUCUGUCAUUCAACUUUUACCAUCUUUCAAAGGGUUAGAGAAAGAGGAUCCAUUUUUUCAAAUUAAGGAAUUUCUUGACAUAUACUCUACAUUUCGUUUUCAAAAUUUUAAUGAUGAGUCAAUUAGGCUUCAUAUGUUCACUUUAUCAUUAAAAGACAAAGUGAAAGCUUGGUUGAAUUCACUUCCUGAUGGGUCUAAUACUAUGUGAGAUGAAUUGAGUAAUAAGUUCCUCACCAAGUUUUUCUCUAUGUCUAAAACAAAUGCCCUUAUGAGAGAGAUAAGUGGUUUUUAUCAAAGAGAGAGUGAGCAAUUUUAUGAGUGUUGGGAAAGAUUUAAUGAUUUAUUCCUUAAGUGUCCCCACCAUAGUCUUGAGAAAUGGAGACUUAUACAAUACUUUUAUAAUGGUUUAACCAUGUCAAAUCGUCAUAUGGUGGAGUCUAUGAAUGGUGGGAGAUUUUUGAACCUACAUGAAGGGGCUGCAUGAGAUUUCUUUAAUUCACUUUCUGAAAAUUCUCAACAGUGAAAUUUUUCAAAUCAAAGGGAAAAAUCAUCUCAAGUUUCAAAAAAGGGUUUAUAUGAAGUUAAAGAUGAUUUUGAUGUGAACGCCACUCUAGCUACUCUUUCUAGGAAAGUAGAUGUCUUAGCUCUGAACCAAUCAAUGAAUCACCAUCCUAGUGUAGCUAAUGAGAUUUGUGCUCUUUAUUCUAACUUAUCUCAUACAACACAUAAUUGUCCAUCAUUACCAGCCUAUCCAAAUGCUUAUUCUGAGCAGGUACAUGUCUUACAAUCGUAUGAAAAAUCAUUCAAUAGUCCAUAUUCAUCCACAUAUAAUCCUAAUUGGAGGAAUCAACCUAAUUUUUCUUGAAAACAAAAUCAACCUUUGUCGAACCAAGGAGGGCAACAAUUUAGCAUGCCCAAUCAACAAUUUUUCCCUUCUAACCAACUAUAUCCCCUUGCCUAACAGCCUAUGUCUCAAUUUGUUGCACCCCAACAAAGAAAACCUUCUUUAGAGGAUACACUUCAAAGUUUCAUUCAGUCUAUCCAACAAGCCUUUCAGUCAAACACUCAAGCUAUUCUAAAGUUUGAACAUCAAUUGGGUCAAUUAGCAACUACUGUGGCUGAGAGAGAAAAAGAAAAAUUCUCAAGUCAACCAAUUCCUAAUCUUAAAGGAGUGCAUGAAGUUGGAUCAAGUUCAAGCCAUCAGCAUGAAGAAGCAAAAUCUAUUAUGACCUUAAGAAGAGGAAAAUUAUUUGACAACAAGGUGGAGGUUCGAACAAGAAAGACAUUUGAACAUACUUAUGUAGAUUUAGUUCCAUCACAAGCUUCAUCACCUAAUGAUCAAGAAGAAAGUGGCCCACCAACUUACAUUCCUAAGGCUCUUUUUCCCCAAAGGUUAACAAAGGUAAAGAAAGGGACUUCAACAGGUGAGAUUAUGGAAAUCUUUAAGCAUGUAAGUAUAAACAUCCCUUUACUCGAUGCUAUUAAGCAAGUUCCCUCAUAUGCUAAGUUUUUAAAAGAUUUAUGCACUAAAAAGAGAAAUUUGCAUGUCACCAAAAAGGCAUUUUAAACUGAACAAACUAGCAAUGUACUUCAAUGUAAAAUGCCACCAAAAUUUAAGGAUCCAAGUUCCCUUACUAUCUCAUAUGUUAUAGGGAACCAAUUGUUUAAUAAAGUAUUGUUGGAUUUAUGAGCUAGUGUUAAUCUCUUACCUUAUUUUGUUUACAAGUAACUUGGAUUAGGUGAGUUAAAGUCAACUUCUAUUAUUUUACAACUUGCAGAUAGGUCAAUGAAAAUAUCUCGUAAAAUUAUAGAGGAUGUGUUGAUACAGAUUGAUAAAUUUUAUUAACCUGUUGAUUUUAUUGUUAUUGAUAUUCAGCAUGUACAAGAUCCUAAGAAACAAACCCUAAUUAUUCUAGGUCGUCAUUUCUUAACUACAGCCGAUGCUUUUAUUAAUUGCAGGAGUGGAAACAUGCAACUAUCCUUUGGUAAUAUGACCAUGAAAUUUAAUAUUUUUAAUGUUACCAAGCAGCCACAAGAAGAAGAUGAAUUUGUCGAAGCAAAUAUGAUAGAAGAAUUAGUAGAAGAUUCAUUCAUUUCCAACCACACUGAUGAUCCAUUAGAGGCAUGUUUAACUCAUUUUGAUUUAUCUUCUAAUGAUGACAGUGUAAUUGCAUAAGUCAACGCCUUACUUGAUGUACCUCUAAUUAUGGACACAACUAAAUGGAAGACAAAGUUAGAACCACUGCCUCAUUCUGAGAAGAAGAUUAGCCCAUCUGAGGAGACAAUACCAAAAUUGGAAUUCAAAGCAUUGCCCGACACACUGGAAUAUGCAUUCUUGGGAGAAUCUGACACUCUACCUGUUAUUAUUUCUUCUUCCCGAUCUUGAGCAAAAAUAUAAGUUGUUGGGUAUUCUAAAAGAGUACAAGGAGGCAAUAGAAUGGACUAUUGCUGAUAUUAAAUGUAUUAAUCCAGUAAAUUGCAUACAUCAUAUUAAUCUUGAAGAAAAUGCUAAGCCUAUUAGGGAGAUGCAACGUAGACUAAACCUUAACAUAAAAGAAGUGGUAAGAGCUAAAGUAAUAAAAUUAUUAGAUGCAGGAAUUAUUUAUCUUAUUUCAGAUAGUUCUUGGGUUAGCCAUGUGCAAGUUAUUCCUACGAAAUCUGGUGUUACAGUAAUUACUAAUGCUAAUAAUGAAUUAAUUCCCAUUAGAGUAACUACAGGUUGGCGUGUUUACAUUGACUAUAGAAAAUUGAAUUUAGUCACAAGACAAUAUCAUUUUCUUCUUCCAUUUAUUGAUAAAAUGUUUGAUAGACUUGUAGGUCAUGAUUUUUAUUAUUUUUUAGAUGGAUAUUCAGGUUAUAAUCAGAUUCCUAUAGCUCUAGAGGACCAAGAGAAAACUACUUUUACUUUUCCAUUUGGAACUUUUGCAUAUAGGAGAAUACCAUUUGGUUUAUGCAAUGCACCUGCUACCUUUCAAAGAUGCAUGCUUAGUAUUUUUUCUGAUAUGGUUGAGCGAUUUCUUAAAGUAUUCAUGGAUGAUUUUUCUGUUUAUGGAGAUUCUUUUGAUGAAUGUUUGCAACAUCUAACAUUAGUUUUGCAAAGAUGUAAAGAAAAGAACUUGGUUCUAAAUUGGGAAAAAUAUCACUUCAUGGUAAAACAAGAUAUUGUUCUCGAUCAUAUAAUUUCCAGUAGAGGCAUAGAAGUCGACAAAGCCAAUGUGGAUUUAAUUUCUAAUUUUCCACAUCUCAAAUCCGUAAAAGAAGUAAGAUCUUUCCUUAAACAUGUUAGUUUUUAUAGAAGAUUCAUUAAAGAUUUUAGUAAAAUUUCUAGACCCUUAUGCAAUUUACUUAUUAAGGAUGCACCUUUUAUCUUUGAUGAAUCUUGUCUUGAUACUUUUGAAAAGCUUAAGAAAUUGUUGACUUCUUCACCUAUCAUUCAACCACCUAAUUGGAUUUGCUUUUUGAAAUUAUGUGUGAUGCAUCUGAUUAUGUUGUAGGAGCAGUUUUAGGACAAAGAUUAGAUCGUAUGCCUUAUGUGAUUUAUUAUACUAGUAUGAUACUCAAUGAUGCACAGUUGAACUAUUCAACUAUAGAAAAAGAAAUGCUAGUUGUGGUGUUUGCACUUGAUUAAUUCAGAUCUUAUCUUAUAGGUUGUAAAGUGAUUAUUUUUACUGAUCAUGCUGCUUUGAAAUAUUUGCUUACUAAGAAAGAUGCUAAGGCAAGAUUGAUUCAUUGGGUGUUACUUUUACAAGAAUUUUACAUUGAAUUUAAAGAUAAAAAAAGUUCUGAAAAUGUUGUGACAGAUCAUUUAUCUCGCAUUGAUCUUAAAUUUAUUUCAGAAUCUUUACCUUUGAAUGAGUCUUUCCCAGAUGAGCAACUUAUGAGUGUAAAUAUUGUACCAUGGUUUGUGACACGACUCAAAAUUGUAGUACUCCCAAGUAUAAGAGUGUCUAGUUAUAAUAUAACCCGGUGAGUCCGGGGUCGAAGCACAUGGAAUUUUAAAUCUAGUAGUCAAUUUAAAACUAAGAAAAUUAAUUGUGGGGAAAAGAAAUUAUUUGAAAUCAAUUUAAAAAUAUGCUAAGGUUCGAGAUCCACUCUCUGUAUUCAAACUAUAAUUUUAAUACUCUCUUAUUUAUAUUUUGCCUCACUUUUACCAGUUAAUUAUUAUAUCAUUUAAUUUUAUGUGUGUGGAUGAAUAUGAAAUAAAGUACCUAAUGUAUCACAACUAAUUUAAUGUGUCGAUAUUAUGUCAAAAUACCAUACAGAUUCAAGAAAAAUUAUAAAUCAACAUGACAUAAAAAUAACUAGAAAAUAAUAAAAUAAACUUAAAAACUCAUUUGAGAAAAUAAUAAAUUUAAUAGUUUGAAACAUUGAGCUUCACCUUUCACCCCAGCUUAGUAAAAUUAGCCAGUCGUAUCGAAAGAAAAGAUAACACUUUUUUUAUUUGAUAAACUUUUGAAAUAUGUUACAAGGAAAAUUGAUACAAAAGGAAACAAGAAAAGAAAAGAAAAGAAAGAAAGACAAAAAUUCUUCAGUUCCCUAUUGGCUACAACUAUUUCUCUCGGCUUAAAAAUCUCAAAUCCCCUCGCGACUCUCUGCUCAAGCUUCCUGCAUUUCCUUGCCUUUUAUGGGCAAGGAAUGCAUUAUCUUUAUUUAUUUAUUUUAUUAUUAUUAUAUAUGUGUGUAUAUAUAUAUAUAUAUGUGUGUGUGUGUGUGUGUGUGUGUGUGUGUGUAAUGGUCAAGUGGCCAUCAUGGCCACUUGACCAUUACGAGAAUGAGCAAUUUGGUUUUUGUUCUUUUGUUCUUUUGUUCUUUUUUUAUUUUUUUUAUUCAUUUGAUUUAUUUAUUUACAUCUCCUCAAUAAUGCUUCCAAAUUGCUCCAGCAGUCCUUUUUUUAUCUCGCUUUCAAUUCUAAUUUAUUCUUGAAAAAUAUUUAUAAGAUAAAAAUUAAUAUAUUGCGAAUUAAUUUAACACAAAAAUUUAUUUGGAGAAUAUUAAGAUAAUUUAGAAAUAAUGAGCGCAUUAAUCUACACAAUAAGUGUAAAACUAAUAAUUUUAUUUUUGUUACACGUACACUUUUUAGUGUUAAUCACACCCCCCAACCAGCUUAUUGCUAAGCUCUAACAAAUCGAAAAAAAGUUCAGUAAAAUUUCAAACUCAAAUUGAAAAUUUUGUUUUUUUUUUUGUUUUUUUUAAAGGAUUGUGUUUACUUCUUUCAUCAUAUUAAUGACAACAAUCAAAUAAAAGUAUAAGCAUUAUCUUCAGCCUAAAGAAAAUCACACCCGCACAAAAUAGUCUAGUAAAAUCCUGUAAAAUGAUCAAUUAUCAGAGCUACAUUAAUCAAGUCACUUUAAAAAUGAUAUAUCAAACCCCAAAACUUCACGAUUAAGAGUGACUUUCUCAAAAGAAAAUAUAUCCCAAAUUAAACUGUCACUCUAAAAAAAAUGGUAGAUUUUAGAGAAUAAUAAAAUAAUAUCACACGCUCUCACCAAGAUGAAAGAAUAAGGCCCACAGCUUAGAAAUAAAAUGAUCUUAACUCAAGGAAUUAUUAGCAAAAUUUAUUUUUAUUUUUAUGCAUCACCACAUCUUUUAGUCUAUAUUACUAGCUUUUACUUCAGACUAUAGUUCCCUAAAUCAAGAAGGACUUUUAUUAAGACGUAAUGUAGGCUAUGGUUAUGGCUAACAAAAAAAGUAAUAGGGAAAACAAAAAUAUAUGUUUGAAAAAUAGGGGACUUUUUGGAGAUUACAAGGUGCUUUUUUUUUUUUGCUUGGAUUUUUUUUGCUCUCUUUUUUAUUUUAUUUAUUUAUAUAUACAUAUCCUCUUUUUUUUUAUAGCACCAUUAUUAGGAAUACAUAAUCAUCCCUAUUUUCAAACAUAAUUGGGUGGUGGAAAACAUAAAAUAUAAGGUGAUGCUCCACAUUGGAGUGGGAUAAGAUAAUAGGUUAUCAAAGAAAUUUUUUUUUUUUUAAAGACUCAAAGAGGUUAACUAUGGAUUCUUUAUAAUAAGGUUGACUAGAAAGACUUAAACGGGUCAAAGAUGGUCUUCUGUCAUCUUUUAGUGCUUUAAAUAAUCUUUCAUAUCCACUAGUUCAAUAGACUUUUAGAUGUGGUUGCACAAACUUUCUCUUUUUUUUUACUCUUUUUUUUUAAAGAAAAUAUUGAGAUCUUGUACAAUAAAUUGUGAAGUUGUAUUGGCAAACAUGGUUACUCUCCAAGGAUAAUAGGCUCAAAAAACUCACUUGGACUUUUUAUAACAUGUACAUUCCUCCAAAUGGCUUAAUCAAUUUCACUCAUUCAAUUUGUCAAUUUACGUUUCAAAAUGCAAAGGGAAAAACAUAGUGUAACAUAACUCAAGGCCAAAGAUAAUACGAAUACCAAAAUUUGAAAAUCAUCAUGUUAUCCAAUGUUAAAAGAUCACACCAAAAAAGAAAUUUUUUUUUUUAAGAAAACACUAAAAAAUUGGGACUAAUUGCAGAAACUUAAGGGAGAUGAUUAAGAGAAAAAGAGAAAUAGACAAAAAACAAAAAGUUAGAAAAUAAUUUUUUUUUAGAAAACACACUAAAAUUAAGAUGCGUUUCUAGAGACACUACAUUCUAUAUUCUGCCAUCUUCGACUCAAAUUUUUAUCUAAAGUUAGUCUUUACAACAAAAAUUAGUAAAAACAUCACCAGGACUGAGACAUUCCACAAUUAUCAACUAUUCCCUUCACCAACCCGAAGGAGACAUUGUCCUCAAUAUCUAAAGAAAUGAGUAGAGUUUAGAAGAUAUCACCUGGCCACAGCUGGAAAUAUUUACAAACGGCGAGUUAAAUCUAAUUUAUACUUUUUGCGAGAGUUACUGCCAUCGUCCUCAGUUGCCCAAUCCAAUGCCAAAGUCACGGGAUCUGGCUCUGGUUUAUAAGCUUGCAAAAGAUCAAAUAACUCAUUAUCAGUAGGAGCACAAAUGAAGAGUUUUUUCGUUAAGGAUGGAAUGAAGUAAUUUUUUAUUGCAUGAUUAAGAAAUAUUAUUGAGCCAUCAUAAAAGUUAUUAACAUUUAACAAACCGAUGAGUUUUUUAUGAAUAUUCAAAUGGGCCCAAGAAGAAAAUUUAAUUAGUGUCUCUAAAGUUGCAAGAUCUCCUGGUAAGAAAAUGAAAGCGUCAGCAUGAUUUAACAUUUUGGAUAUUCUUUCUUGCAUACCUGAGACAACUAACUCUUCUCCAGUUGGUGGGUCUGGUAGACAUCCUAAAGGUUUUAAGGCUUUUGGAAUGAUGCCUAGCACUUGGCUUCCUCGAAUAAAGGCAGCUUCAAAGACAAGUUUUGAUAACCCUUGGCCACCUCCUCCAUAUACAAGAUGUAGUUUCCUCUCUGCUAUAGUACGACCAAGAUCUAUGGCUGCUUGAAUGAACUCCUUAUACUUUCCAUAGCGAAAUCCAGAAAGUACACAAAUGUUUUUAAGUUGACUGCUUGAAGUUGCUGCCAUUAGAACAAUUCUAAAAAGAAACAAUUUGUGAGUGCUUGAAAAGAAGUUCCUAUUAAGGAUCUCGGUGACGGACAUAAUGAUAUAUGUAAAUGGGUAGUGUGUUUGUCAAAUGACGCGUGAAGCUUUUAGCUUAAUAAUUCAAAGGUAAAUAGUAAAAAGAAAAAACAAACAGUGAUUAGAUAAAAAAAACACACAAUAAUAAUAAUAAUGCAAAAGAUAAAAGAACAGUAAAAUAAAAGGAUAUUUACUGGUAGUUAUGAUUGUGGCUCACAUCUUCCUCUGGUUUUACGUCCAGUAACGACUUGAACGCCCUCUAUGGGUCGAGGAUAGGCUUCCCAUCCAGUUUUCUUAUAAACUGGCAAACAAGGUCUUUUAGAGUCAGAUUUCCAAGACUAAACUGUACACUUUCCUUUUGGAACAACUUCCAUAAAUUUUAAAUUUCAUGUUGAACAUAUCCGUUCGGAUGCGUCUUAAGAGAUCGUAAGAUAUCAUCCAACGAUUCUUUACUUAUGCCAUCCUUAAUGAAUUUGAUUUUAUCUUCACAAUUUACAGAAACCAUUCCUUACAACGUGGCUUUUUGUAAGCAAGUCUUACAUAGUGAGAACAUUAAGAGCCAAGUCGCUUAGCUCUUUUUUUUUAUAACAAAUGUACUUUUACCAAGACCAGGCAUGUAAGAAAUGAAUGGAUAAGAAAACUCACAUGCCAGUCAGACCUUUGCUUCAAUUAACUAGCGAAUGUUAGUAGGAAUCCCAUUGAUCAUUAACAAACGCAGUCGUUCACAACGAGUUUUGUAAAUCUUCGUAAGAGCAUUUUGAGGGAGAGAAGGAAAAAGUUGAUGCAAUUUUCAUUGUAUUUCUUCCAUGCUUGACAUUGAGGUUUCAGUUAUUGUGGGAAACUGAGAAUAUCGACUUAAAAAGUCACGGAGUACCGUUAUUCGCCAUUUAUACGGAAGAGUGAAUCAAAACAAAACGAAUCAAAUCUGCAAAAUCAAAUCAAAAGUGAAGAAGAACAACAAAAUAAAAUAAAAACACACAAGGAAUAUAACUCACCUUCAUCCUUUUAUUGAAUUUACCUCCAGUUCCAAUAACAUAUUAUAAAUACCAUCCUCUAUUUUCUUGAGUUGUCUUUCUAGAUCUUUCACGUGGGAUACUAAUUCUGGUGGUUGUAGCUCCCAAAUAGGAUGUGAUUUACAAAAUCAGAGUAAUUUCCUCAGGUGAAAUUUUACAUGUAAAAGUGCUUUAAGAUGAUCGAAAAGGAAAUUUCUCAUGGAGGUAUUCAUGACAAGCAUAAAAAUUUGGUGAGGUAAAUCACAAUUGUCAAACAACACACAAUUAAAACAAUGCAAUGUACUCUAUUCAAGACAUAGGGAAAAGGAAAAAGAAAAAAAAUCAGUUUGUCCUUUUAUUGAAUUUACCUUCAGUUCCAAAUGCAGAUUAUAAAUACCAUCCUCUAUUUCCUUGAGUUGUCUUUCUAGAUCUUUCACGCGGGAUACUAACUCUGGUGGUUGUACAUCCUAAAUGAGAUGUGAUUUAUAAAAUCGGAGCAAUUUCCUCAUGUGAAAUUUUACAUGUAAAAGUUCUUUAAGAUGAUCGAAAAGGAAACUUCUCAUGGAGGUACUUAUGACAAGUAUAAAAAUUUGGUGAGCUAAAGAACAAUUGUCAAACAACACACAAUUAAAAACAAUGUAAUGCACUCCAUUCAAGACAUAGGGAAAAGGAAAAAAAAUAAAACAAUUCAAACGAUAAAGUAAUAGUAAAUCAAAUUCACAAAAAGUUAAAAUGAAAAGGCUUAAUUAAAAUUUGGUGGGUCACUCAAAUUGAUUUCGGUAUCUGCUUCACGUGGUUGGUAUUUCAGAUAUAAUUUUAACUUUUGACCAUUAACUUUAAAUGUGACACCAUCCUUUAGAUUCUCAAUUUCUACGGCUCCAUAUGGAUACACAAUUUUUACAACAAAUGGACCAUUCCACUUUGACUUUAACUUCCCUAGAAAUAAAUGAAGACGAGAAUUAUAAAGCAACACUUUUUGACCAAUUUCAAAUGUUUUCCGAAAAAUUCUUUUGUCAUGAAAAAAAAAUUGGUCUUGCCUUAAUAAUUCUGUAAUUCUCAUAUGCAUCAUUCCUUAAUUACUUAAGUUCAUUUAAUUGCAAUUUACACACAUUACCAGCAUCAUCAAGAUUUGAAUGAAAACCUUUAAUGGCCCAAAAUGAUUUAUGUUCAAGUUCAACUGGUAAGUGGCAAGAUUUUCCAUAAAUAAGCCGAUAGGGUGACAUUCCUAAAGAUGUUUUAAAAGUAGUACGAUAUGCCCAAAGUGCAUCAGUUAGUCGAAGAGACCAAUCUUUACGAUUUGGAUUAACUGUCUUUUCUAAAAUUUGUUUUAUCUCCCUAUUUGCUAAUUCAACUUAACCACUUGUUUGAGGGUGAUAAGGGGUAGCAACCUUAUGUGUAAUUCGAUAUUUCUUCAUUAAUGACUCAAAUGGCUUAUUACAAAAAUGCUUACAUCUAUCACUGAUAAUGGCUCGAGAUAUUCCAAAUCUGCUCAAAAUAUUUUCUUUUAAAAAGCGGAUCACAAUCUUGUGAUCAUUGUGCCGACAAUGAAUUGCCUCGAUCUAUUUUGAAACAUAAUCAACAGCAACCAAAAUGUAUACAAAUCCAAAUGAUGAUGGAAAAGGGCCCAUAAAAUCAAUUCCCCAACAAUCAAAUAUUUCAAUGACAAGGAUGGGGUUUAAAGGCAUCAUGUUUCGUUUUGAAAUAGACCAUACCAUUUGACAAUUCUUACACAUUUUACAGAAUGCAUGUGAAUCUUUAAAUAAUGUAGGCUAAUAGAAUCCACACUGAAAUAUUUUUGCAGCUGUCUUUUUUGAAGAAAAAUGGCCGCCACAUGCUUCAGAAUGACAAAAUUGAAUGACCCUACUUACCUCGUCGUCUGGUAUGCAUCUUCGAAAAAUUUGAUCAGAGUAGUAUUUGAACAUGUAUGGAUCAUCCUAGUAAAAGCUUCUCACUUCUGUUAAGAAUUUCCUCUUGUCUUGGGAAUUCCAGUCACAUGGCAUUUCACAUGUCGCAAGAUAAUUAACAAUAUUAGCAUACCAAGGCAUUUUGUUUAUAGAAAAAAAAAAUUCAUUAGGGAAAGAAUCAUUGAUGGGUGUUGUUUCAAUUAAAGACUCAUUUGUAAUUCUUGAAAGAUGAUCUGCAACAACAUUUUCAACGACCUUUUUGUCCUUGAUUGUCAAAUUAAAUUCUUAAAGUAGCAAAAUCCAUCGUAUCAACCUUGGUUUGGCAUCCUGUUUUGACAUUAAAUAUCUCACAGCAGCAUGAUCAGAAUAAACACAGUAGAUGAACCAAUUAAAUACGAAUGAAAUUUAUCCAAUGCAAAUAUUACAACAAGUAGUUCUUUCUCAGUUGUAGUGUAAUUCAUUUGAGCACUAUUCAAAGUUAUACUUGGAUAAUAGAUGACAAAGGGCUUACCUUCCUUUCUUUGACCCAGAAUAGCGCCAACGACAUAAUCACUAGCAUCACAUAUUAACUCAAAAUGUAAAGACCAAUCAAGGGGUUGCAUUAUUGGGGCUGAUGUCAAAAGAGUAGUUAUUUUUUCAAAAGCUUGUUGACAAUCUUUAGUCCAUUCAAAAUGUGUGUCUUUAUUAGGAGGUUAUAAAGUGGUCUAGAUAUGACACUAAAGGCUUUUAUAAACCUCCUAUAAAAUCCUGCAUGUCCUAAAAAGGAACGGACUUCUCUAAUUGUCUUUGGUGAGGGUAAUUUUGAAAUGACUUCAACUUUAACUUUGUCAACUUCAAUUCCUUUUGAAGACACAACAUGGCCCAAGACAAUUUCAGAAGUGGUCAUGAAAUGACAUUUUUCCCAAUUUAAAACUAGUCCUUUCUCUUUGCACAUUUUCAAAAAAAUUUCUAGAUUAUCAAGACAUGUAUCAAAAGAAUUACCAAAUACAGUUAAAUCUUCCAUAAAAAUCUCUAGAUAAUUUUCAACCAUGUCACUAAAAAUGCUUAGCAGGCACCUUUGAAAUGUUGCAGGAGCAUUACAAAGUCCAAAGGGCAUUCUCCUAAAUGCAAAUGUUUCAAAUGGGCAUGUGAAUGUGGUCUUUUACUGGUCUUCUAAGGCUAUAAAGAUUUGAUAAUAGCCAGAGUAGCCAUCAAGAAAGCAGUAGUAGGGAUGUCCAGCUACUCUUUCGAGAAUUUGGUCUAGAAAUGGAAGGGAAAAAUGAUUUUUCUAGUGGCAUCAUUUAAUUUUCUGUAAUCAAUGCACAUCCGCCAACUAGAUGGAAUUCGUGUUGAGAUUGGUUCACCUUUUUCAUUUUUUACAACAGUUAUUCCAGAUUUCUUUGGUACUACUUGUGUUGGACUUGCCCAUUUACUAUAAGAGAUAAGAUAGAUAAUUCCUAGAUCUAGUAGUUUAAGGACCUCAUUCUUUACCGCUUCUUUCAUAUGAGAGUUUAGUCUUCUUUGUGGUUGACGGGUUGUUUUGGUAUUUUCCUCUAAGUGUAUUCGGUGUGUGCAAAUUAAAGGAUUAAUGCCUUUUAUGUCUUUUAAGGUCCAACCAAAUGCAGUUUUAUGCUUUUUUAGUAUAGAUAACAACUUACCUUCUUGAUCAUGCGUGAACUGAGAAGAAAUUACCACCAGAUAUGUCUGUUGUUCUCCAAGAUAGACAUACUUCAAUUCUUCUAGUAAGGGCUCUAAUUCGAGCUAUGGUGUUUCCUCUUCGUUUGGUUCUUCGGGUUGUAUCGUAUCUUCAAAGUCCGAUUGGUCAUCGUCACCUAUAGGGACCUGCAUUGAAUCAAGUGUACGACAUAUGUUAGCAGUAUCAUAAUCUAAUUCCUUACUUGAUUCAAAAGAACCAGCAAAAUAAAUUUCCGCAAAGUUUGUAAAAUUCUCAUCAUGAAUGUGUUCCUCAAUGAUUAGCUCGAUGAGAUCAAUCUCCUCAUUCUCAUUAUCAUCAUCUUCUUGGUGGUGAGGUUGUUUACACAUGUUGAACACAUUAAGUUCCAGUGUCAUGUUGUCGAAAGAUAAAUUCAUUAAUCCAUUCCUACAAUUGAUCAAAGCAUUAGCAGUAGCUAAAAAUGGUCGACCCAAUAUAAGAGGAAUUUGUUUGCAUUCAUUAGCAAUUGGUUCCGUUUCCAAAACAAUAAAAUCCACAAGAUAUAUGAAUUUAUCGACCUGGACUAAUACAUCUUCAAUUAUUUAUUUUGCAAUCUUAAUCGAUCUAUCAGCAAGUAAAAGAGUGGUAGAAGUUGGUUUUAACUCACCGAGAUUGAGUUGUUGGUACAAUGAGUAAGGAAGCAAAUUAACACUGGCACCAAGAUCAAGUAGAGCAUGUCCAAUUUUAUGAUCCCCAAUAGUGCAAGAAAUAGUUGGACAACCAUUAUCCUUGUAUUUCAAAGUACUAUUGGUUGAGAGAAUUGAACUUACUUGUUCUGCUAGAAAAGCUCUCUUUUGCAUCUUAUGUUUCCUUUUCACCGUGCACAGAUCUUUCAAAAUUUAGCAUAAGAAGGUACUUAUUUAAUGACAUCCAGCAGAGGAAUGUUGACCUUUACUUAUUUAAAAACUUCACAAAAUAAGAAACGGUCCCUCCAACGCAUAAAUGGUUGGGAGUUCACGUUCUCAUCAUCUUUGGUAAAGUCAAGUCCACCACGUAGACAUUCAUAAACCGCCCUACCAUAAUUCUUCGCGGAUAACCCCAGUUUAGGUUUAAUAGUGCUUGAGGAAAUAGGGGUACAGGAGGAGAGUUGGUUAUUUCUUAAUGGGUUAAAGGUUCGACAGACUCUUCCCUAUUUUCUGAAAUUGAAUCUUUACUGGUUUCACGAGGGUCCACAAUAUGUUUUCGACCACUUUACCACCACGAAGGGUUAUAACCAAUUUGACUUGACUCAUAAUUUGGUUUCCUGAAUUUCCCAUUUGCGGAUGUUGUUGACUCUUGGGGUUUAGUUCAGGUUGAGCAAUAAACUUUCCUUUUUCAUACAUGGUCAGAGUAGAUGUAAGUUUGGAGAUAGUUUCUGUCAAAUUAGUUAAGGUUUGCAUCGUUUGGUUAUUGAUUGACUCUUAUUUUUCAAUAAACGAAUGCAAUGUGUCUUCCAAAGUUUUUCUUGGUUGUGGAACAUAUGGUGGGUAACUCUGGGAGUUUUGAAAAUUUUGACGUGGAGGAAUUGGUUGUAAAGGUUGUGUAUGAUUGUCAUUUCUCCAACUAAAAUUUGGGUGGUUUCUCUAACCAGAGUUGUAAGUUUGGGAGUAUGGAUUUGGAUUUGGCCUUUUGAAAUUGUCAACGACAUUUACUUGUUCAUGCAAACUUUGUCUCCAAGCUGGCAAAGUUGGACGGUCCUGCGUAGAAUGGUCAGUAGAAUCGCAAACAUAACAUGAAAUAUUUUGAACAGAUUUUACAUGAUCAUUCUUUUUCAACUCUAAUGCUUCGACUUUUCUAGCUAAUGAUGUAAAUUUGGCUUGAAAAUCAUGGUCUUCCCUAAGGUUAUGCAUGCCUCCACCAGAUGGAGAUGACUGAGGUUUACUUGAUGACUCAUAAGAACCAACUGUAUCCCAGUGUUGUGCAUUCUCUGCCAUAUAGUCAAGAUAGUCUAAUGCAUCUUCAAGACUUUUAUCCCUAAACUCACCAUUACACAUCAUUUCAAUGACUUGUCGGCCUUGGGAUGUUAAUCCCUCGUAGAAAUAAGACACUAAUCUCCAUGUUUCAAAAUCGUGGUGUGGGUAAAUGUUAAGUAGUUCUUUAAACCUAUCCCAACAUUGGUAGAGGGUUUCUCCUGGUUUUUGAGUGAAUGUGGUGAUUUGUCUUUUGAAAUAAUUAGUUCUGUGGGGUGGGAAGAUUUUUUUCAAAAAUUGUGCUUGCAUUUCAUCCUAAGUUCUAAUGGAUCCUGACUUAAGAUUUUUGUAGCCAAGUUUUAACUUUAUCAUUUAGUGAGAAAGGAAAAAACUUAAGUAUGAUUAUAUUCAUGCUACAAUUUUGAUCAGUACAUGUGUUACAGACUUCCUCAAAUUCCCUUAAAUGCAAAUAUGAAUUUUCAAACUCAAAAACAUGAAAAGCAAGAAGAAGUUGAAUGAUACCAGGUUUAAAAUUAAAACGUGAUGCAUCAGGAGGGAAAACUAUGCAUGAUGAUGACCCUGUUCUAGUAGGAUGCAUGAAAUCUCUUAGGGCCCUAGGCUGUUGAUGAAGAUUUUGCAAGGCUUGGUCAUUUUCAUGCUCUGAAAAAUUUUCAGCUCCUGUGUCAAGUAAAAGAGUGGUAGAAGUUGGUUUUAACUCACCGAGAUUGAGUUGUUGGUACAAUGAGUAAGGAAGCAAAUUAACACUGGCACCAAGAUCAAGUAGAGCAUGUCCAAUUUUAUGAUCCCCAAUAGUGCAAGAAAUAGUUGGACAACCAUUAUCCUUGUAUUUCAAAGUACUAUUGGUUGAGAGAAUUGAACUUACUUGUUCUGCUAGAAAAGCUCUCUUUUGCAUCUUAUGUUUCCUUUUCACCGUGCACAGAUCUUUCAAAAUUUAGCAUAAGAAGGUACUUAUUUAAUGACAUCCAGCAGAGGAAUGUUGACCUUUACUUAUUUAAAAACUUCACAAAAUAAGAAACGGUCCCUCCAACGCAUAAAUGGUUGGGAGUUCACGUUCUCAUCAUCUUUGGUAAAGUCAAGUCCACCACGUAGACAUUCAUAAACCGCCCUACCAUAAUUCUUCGCGGAUAACCCCAGUUUAGGUUUAAUAGUGCUUGAGGAAAUAGGGGUACAGGAGGAGAGUUGGUUAUUUCUUAAUGGGUUAAAGGUUCGACAGACUCUUCCCUAUUUUCUGAAAUUGAAUCUUUACUGGUUUCACGAGGGUCCACAAUAUGUUUUCGACCACUUUACCACCACGAAGGGUUAUAACCAAUUUGACUUGACUCAUAAUUUGGUUUCCUGAAUUUCCCAUUUGCGGAUGUUGUUGACUCUUGGGGUUUAGUUCAGGUUGAGCAAUAAACUUUCCUUUUUCAUACAUGGUCAGAGUAGAUGUAAGUUUGGAGAUAGUUUCUGUCAAAUUAGUUAAGGUUUGCAUCGUUUGGUUAUUGAUUGACUCUUAUUUUUCAAUAAACGAAUGCAAUGUGUCUUCCAAAGUUUUUCUUGGUUGUGGAACAUAUGGUGGGUAACUCUGGGAGUUUUGAAAAUUUUGACGUGGAGGAAUUGGUUGUAAAGGUUGUGUAUGAUUGUCAUUUCUCCAACUAAAAUUUGGGUGGUUUCUCUAACCAGAGUUGUAAGUUUGGGAGUAUGGAUUUGGAUUUGGCCUUUUGAAAUUGUCAACGACAUUUACUUGUUCAUGCAAACUUUGUCUCCAAGCUGGCAAAGUUGGACGGUCCUGCGUAGAAUGGUCAGUAGAAUCGCAAACAUAACAUGAAAUAUUUUGAACAGAUUUUACAUGAUCAUUCUUUUUCAACUCUAAUGCUUCGACUUUUCUAGCUAAUGAUGUAAAUUUGGCUUGAAAAUCAUGGUCUUCCCUAAGGUUAUGCAUGCCUCCACCAGAUGGAGAUGACUGAGGUUUACUUGAUGACUCAUAAGAACCAACUGUAUCCCAGUGUUGUGCAUUCUCUGCCAUAUAGUCAAGAUAGUCUAAUGCAUCUUCAAGACUUUUAUCCCUAAACUCACCAUUACACAUCAUUUCAAUGACUUGUCGGCCUUGGGAUGUUAAUCCCUCGUAGAAAUAAGACACUAAUCUCCAUGUUUCAAAAUCGUGGUGUGGGUAAAUGUUAAGUAGUUCUUUAAACCUAUCCCAACAUUGGUAGAGGGUUUCUCCUGGUUUUUGAGUGAAUGUGGUGAUUUGUCUUUUGAAAUAAUUAGUUCUGUGGGGUGGGAAGAUUUUUUUCAAAAAUUGUGCUUGCAUUUCAUCCUAAGUUCUAAUGGAUCCUGACUUAAGAUUUUUGUAGCCAAGUUUUAACUUUAUCAUUUAGUGAGAAAGGAAAAAACUUAAGUAUGAUUAUAUUCAUGCUACAAUUUUGAUCAGUACAUGUGUUACAGACUUCCUCAAAUUCCCUUAAAUGCAAAUAUGAAUUUUCAAACUCAAAAACAUGAAAAGCAAGAAGAAGUUGAAUGAUACCAGGUUUAAAAUUAAAACGUGAUGCAUCAGGAGGGAAAACUAUGCAUGAUGAUGACCCUGUUCUAGUAGGAUGCAUGAAAUCUCUUAGGGCCCUAGGCUGUUGAUGAAGAUUUUGCAAGGCUUGGUCAUUUUCAUGCUCUGAAAAAUUUUCAGCUCCUGUGUCAGCCAUAUCAAAGGGUGGUGAAGGCGAUCUUCUAAUUAAUCUGCCACUAUUUGUAUGAGACCAAUGACGCAUAGAAGAUAAAUAAAAUAAAUAAAUUAGGUGGUGAAACCAGCCAUAAACAAAGGAAUUAAAAGAAACAGUUUAGGCAGUAUUUUAAAACCAGCCAUAUAAUAAAACAUAAAAUUAAAUAAAUUAAUGUACAAGAAUAAAUAAACUGAAAUUAAAAUGCUAGGAGGUAGAACCGACCAUAUAAGCAAAAAUACAUAAAUUAACAAAAUUUAAAUAACAGUCACGCGGUAGAACCGACCAUUUAAAAUAAAUGUAGAAAGUAAAUUGCAGAAAUUUAAAGAAAUAAAUUCGAUUUGGGGACUGAUUUGCAAAUGUUUAUGGGCUAAGAUGAAGUUUCUCACAAAUUUUAUAGAUAAUGUUAAAGUUUAAAAAGAGGAGGGGUGCUAACUGAAGUUUUGUAAAAAGAGAAUAAAAUAGGAUCACGGAAAGAUAGUAGGACAAAAAAUAAUAAUAAUAAAAUAUUAAAAUAAAAUAAAAAUAAAGUAAAAACAAACUAAUGCAAAAUUUAGAAAACUCCCCGGCAACGGUGCUAAAAACUUGACAUGACUCAAAAGUAUAUUACUCCCAAGUAUAAGAGUGUCUAGUUGUAAUAUAACCCGGUGAGUUCGGGGUCGAACCACAAGGAAUUUUUAAAAUCUAGUUGUCAAUUUGUUAAACAAAGAAAAUUAAUUGUGGGGAAAAGAAAUUAUUUGAAAACAAUUUAAAAAUAUGUUAAUGUUACGAGAUCCACUCUUGGUAUUCAAACUAUAAUUUUAAUACUCUCUCAUUUAUAUUUUGCCUCACUUUUAGCAGUUAAUUAUUAUAUCAUUUAAUUUUAUGUGUGUGGAUAAAUAUGAAAUAAAAUACCAAAUGUGCCACACUAUAUUAAUGUGUCGACAUUAUGUCAAAAUACCAUACAGAUACAAGAAAAUUUAUAAAUUAACAAGGCAUAAAAAUAACUAAAAAAAAAUAAAAUAAACUUAAAAACUCAUUUGAGAAAAUAAUAAAUUUAAUAGUUUGAAACAUUGAGCUUCACCUUUCACCUCAGCUUACUAAAAUUAGCCACUCAUAUUGAAAGAAAACACAACACUCUUUUUAUUUGAUAAACUUUUGAAAUAUGUUACAAGAAAAAUUGAUACAAAAGGAAACAAGAAAAGAAAAGAAAGAAAGAUAGAAAUUUAAGUUCCCUCGUGGCUACAACUAAUUCUCUCGGCUUAAAAAUCUCAAAUCCCCUCGCGUCUCUCCGCUCAAGCUUCCUGCAUUUCCUUACCUUUUAUAGGCAAGGAAUGCAUUAUCUUUAUUAUUUAUUAUUAUUAUUAUUAUUAUUAUUAUUAUAUAUGUGUGUGUGUGUGUGUGUACAUUGAAAUGUGUAAUGGUCAAGUGGCUAUGAUGGCCACUUGACCAUUACGAGAAUGAGUAAUUUGGUUUUUGUUCUUUUGUUCUUUUUUAUUUUUUAUUCAUUUUUAUUUUUUUAUUUAUUUACAUCACCUCAAUAAUGCUUCCAAAUUGCUCCAGCAGUCAUUCUUUGUUCCUGCUUUUAAUUCCAAUUUAUUCCUGAAAAAUAUUUAUAAGAUAAAAAUUAAUAUAUUGUGAAUUAAAUUAACACAAAAUUUAUUUGGGAAGUAUUAAGAUAAUUUAGAAAUAAUAAGCGCAUUAAUCUACACAAUAAGUGUAAAACUAAUAAUUUUAUCUUUAUUACACGUACACGUUUUAGUGUUACUCAGUUUGCUGAUAUAGUUAAUUACCUUGUUAUAGGUCAAAUCCCAAAACAUUGGACCAAGCAAGAUAGAACAAAGUUCUUAUCCAAAGUGAAGAAUUUAUUUUGGGAUGAUCCCUAUUUUUUUAAAUAUUGUGCUGAUCAGAUUAUUAGGAGAUGUGUUCCAGAGAAUUAAAUUCAAAGUGUCAUCUCUUUUUUCCAUGAACAAGCUUGUGGAGACCAUUUUAAUGCUAAAAAGACAGCAACAAAAUUUUACAAUGUAGGUUUUAUUGGCCUACUCUUUUUCAUGACGCUUAGGUUUUCUGUUCUUUAUGUGAUAGGUGCCAACACAUGGGUAGCAUUUCAAAGAGGAAUAUGAUGCCACUCAAUCCUAUUCUGAUUGUUGAGAUCUUCGAUGUAUGGGGUAUUGAUUUCAUGAGACCUUUUCCUCUAUCUUUUGGUUAUUAGUAUAUAUUGGUUGCAGUGGACUAUGUGUCGAAAUGGGUUGAAGCUAUUCCAUGCAAAACCAAUGAUCAUAGUGUUGUAGUGAAAUUCUUGAAGAGUAAUAUUCUGUCUCAUUUUGGUUUCUCUAAACAAUCAUUAGUGAUGGUCGUACCCAUUUUUGCAAUAAACCUUUCAAAAAUCUUUUGAACAAAUAUUCCAUUAUACAUAAAGUUGCCACCCCAUACCAUCGUCAAACUAAUGGCCAAGUAGAGAUUUCUAAUAGAGAGAUCAAGCAAAUUCUAGAAAAAAAACAGUUAGGCCAGAUAGAAAUGAUUGGUCUUUGAGACUUGAUAAUGCAUUGUGGGCAUAUAGGACAGCUUUCAAAACCCCAAUUGGGAUGUCACCUUAAAGAAUUGUGUAUAGAAAAGCAAGUCAUCUGCCAGUAGAGUUGGAGUAUCGUGCAUAUUGAGCUAUCAAGAAAUUCAAUUUUGAUAUGCAGCAGGCUGGUUCUAAGAGAAUAUUACAACUAGCAGAACUUGAAGAGAUCAGGAAUGAUACAUAUGAGAAUGCCAAGAUUUAUAAACAACGAAUGAAAGUCUUUCAUGACAAGCACAUUUUGAGAAAAUCAUUUAUACCAAGUUAGAAAGUACUUUUAUAUAAUUCCUGACUGCAUCUCUUUCCAAGUAAGUUACGCUCUCGAUGAUCGGGUCCUUUUAUACUUCGUACUGUCUUUCCUUAUGGAGGAGUUCAGAUUGAAAAUCCUAAAAAUAGUGAUUUAUUUAAAGUCAAUGGUCAAAGAUUAAAACCAUUUUUAGAGUUAAGAACACCAGAAAUUGAGGAGAUAGUUUAGAUGAUUCUGUUUAUCAUGAUUAAUUAAUUCCAUCUUUACAUUCUUUUUAUUUAUUUAAAUAGUAGGUUUUCUUUUCAUUGUUUGUUUUUAUUUUCUAGUAUUUUUCUUUUCUAACAUUUUCUUUUUAUUUGUCAUUUUUUUACGCUUUUCCAGCCUAUUCAGGUGUGUUCUCUCCAACUUUUUCUUUUAUUAUUUAUGUUUUUAUUUAUUUAUUUAUUCUCAUAUUUUUGCAUGCAUAUCUUUUGUUUGUGAAACAUUGAGGACAAUGUUCCGAAUAAGUUUGGGGGUGGGAAUAGUGUGUGCUUUGUUUGUUAUUAAAAAAAAUUAAAAAUUUUCAAAAAUUCAAAAAAAAUUUGUGUUGUCUUUUUUUGUUUUUAUGUGAAAAGCCAAUGAUAAGAACUUGAUUGACAAUGACUAUGGUUCUUAGAAAUGGUUGAAUAUUGUCUGAGUUUAUACUUGAUUCUUGUGUUAGUUCAUCUUGAUUGAGAUUCUUUAAACUAUGAGCACUAAUAUUAAUUUUUUCUGACUUGAAAUAUGAGAUUGACGCAGCCUGAAUUGAGAAUUUUAGAUAAAGUAAAUGACUGUUUGUCUUGAUUCUUAUCUCCACAGUACAAAAUAGUAUACACAAGCGCCGAAGUUAGAAAUAGCUACCUAUAACCCUUAAGAGUGAAGCUAUCCUUGAGUAAUUUGAGUCUAUGUACCACAAGUAUGUAAAGGAUAAUCUACCAUGAGAAGAAAGCUACCUUAAGGGGUAGAGUGAAGCUCCUGACUAUGGUUAAAAAAAAAAAGAAAAAAAAGGAAAAAAAAUCAAGUGCAUGUGUUGAAAUGAAAAAAAUCAAAAGAAAAUGCACAUAAAAGCCUGUAAAAAAAAAUUGGAGAUUAACAUGAUAAGAUUAGUUUGACCUAUUCUUUUCUUUAUUCAAGGCAAAGGUCGUUGAUAUUAAAGAUUUUGGGAAUGGAUUUGAUUGAAUUGAUUCACACACACACUACAAGAAUCAAAAGAGAGAUGAGAUUGACUAAUGAAUUAAAGUUAGAACUUUUCCAAUAUUUAAAAUUUUCUUUGAGCUAUAUAAGUUAUGCAAUCAUUGAGGCUAUCUUUAUAUUUUAUAUAAAGUUUUUUGUUCUUUUUAUUUUAUUUUAUUUUAUUUUUAUUUUUUUAAAUGAUGUUUGUGGGUAUCAUCACUAAAGCUUUCAUGAGACUAUAACUCGUCCAUUAGGGCUGCCUAGGGGUUUAAAAGCUUGUUGGAUAUGCUAAAUGCAAUCGCAAUCACCUGCGAAAGUGGUUUAGUUAGGAUUUACUUUUUUGUUUUGUUACUUUUAUUUUUGUUUUUAAGAUUUAGUUUUGCUCGAGGACUAGCAAAAUCUAAGUUUGGGGGUAUUUGAUGAGCAUAAUUUAUAUAUAUAUUUUACCCUUUAUUGUAUAUUUGUUAGUUAUUUUUAUUUCUUAUUUUUAACUAAUUGAAUUGUUUUAUUGAAUAGGGAAUUAAUUUGAGAUUAUGAAAAAAAAAGUGCAUAAAAGAUCCAUAAGAGAAAAGAAUUGAAGAAUUAAAGAUUAUGUUCUAAAGUUUCCGCAUGAGCUUAAGAUAAUUAAAGAAAGAUUUUAUUUAGCAAUUUGGAAUGUACGUGUUGGGCAUUAAAGGAAGAAAUCAUUAAUUGGCCUUUUGCUUUGGAAGUCAAACGUGUGGCUCGAUUUCCAAUUUUAAUAAGGAAAUAAUAUACAAAGGAUUUGGCGUGUGGGAGCAAAACAAAUAAAAGGCCAAAGCGUUUUGGCUUUAGAAUUGAAAAGGUGGGGCCCAUUUUGAGCUAUAUAAGCAAGCUUUUGCCUUUUGGACAAAAAAUGGGGGAAGCUGCCAAACGCAAAAUGAAGCAAAAGGAGACACGAUUCAAGAGAGAAGACAGGAGCGGCAACAGCUGUUUAGUUUUCAUGGCUGGAGUUAUUUAUUUUGUUGCUCCCAAUUCAAGUAUGUCUACCAAAUUUUUUUAUACUGAGGUUAAGGAUGAAAUCUUAUUCAAUGAAAUAGUUAUCUCUUUAUUUAAUUAAUUCCCCACAUGUGUGUUUUAAUGUUUAUGGUUCUUGUUUCACAUGAUUAGUUGGAUGUUAUUAAAUUCUUUUUCACCAAUUCUGUCAUGCAUUAUUGAUUGUUAAGAUUAAUAUUUGAUUAAAUCUAUGCUUGGAUCUAUAAAGUUUAUAUAUGAUUAUAUUUGAUUUUGUGUUUUUCAUUAAAUUAUUUACACAGAGUACUUAGGAAAACUUUGACUCUUUGUUAUUCAAUAUGUUUACAUAGGAUGCUUAGAUGUCAUACUAUCAAGCAGAAAAAGAACCUACGUAAGAUUAAUUUUAUUUGGGCUUCAUUGUUAUAUUUAUGAGAUGACAUAGAUUGUUUUCGAGUUGUCACUCUAAAAUUGAGGAUUAAUUAAUAUUUAGAUAAAUACUAGUUGAAUAGUAGUGGAUUCGGAAACCUUGGUAAUUUUUGUCUUAUUGAAUUCUCAUUUGCUUUAAUUGUUUUCUUAGUUUAAUUAGUUUAAUUUUAUUAAAACUUAAUUUGCUCAACUAUGCUAGAAUUAAUAUUAAUUUUAGAUUUAAAUUAGAAUUUUCAAUUUAUAACAAUCUCUGUGGGUUCGACCUCGUUACCACUAUUCUAUCUCUUGAUUCGUGCGCUUGCGAGUAUAUUAAAAUUUUUUACAACAGUAAGACUUCUUGAAUGCUGAAGACUAAUCACCCCACUUCACAUCUGCUGUGCAUUUUGUUACUAAUAAGAUUAACGACAUUGAGAGAAUCUAACUCAAUUAUAGCAGGAGCCAACCCGAUAUUCAUCACCAAUUGAAGGCCUUUGUGCACAGCAACAACUUCCACAAACUUUAUAUCUCUGGAGAAAAUCACCCUACAAAUAAAAGCUGCCAUAACCUCUCCUAUGGAAUUACGAACCAAUACUCCAAUACUAGCACGAUCUUCUGUAGAACUUAUAGCCACAUCAACGUUCACUUUGUACCAUGACGAGGGAGGACUUUGGCAACACGAGCUGGGAGUAUUGGGUUUAAUGCUCUUGCUGGUUCCACAUUACAACGUGUCUGCUCUAAAUGAGUUCACGGCAUUCGCAGCUCGGACGACAAUUGCUUGAGACUUAGUGAUAACUUUACCAUAAAUCAAAUGAUUCCGAGCUAGCCAAAUUGACCAACAUAAGACCACCAAUUCUUCAAACUCAUCUUUUGUUACUAUAGAUGUUAUGUGAGUGGUCAAAUUGGAAAACUCCACAGGCCUUGUAAUCUUUAGACAUGAAUAAAAUCUCGUGAGCUUCCAUACCUUCUUCUCUUGUUACACACCACUAGAGCAUGAUACUGAUCCUCAUAAGUAAAGCCACAACAAGGGCAUGAAGGAGCAACUUGAAUUUUCCUUUUAUGCAGAUUUAAAUAAUUGGCUAGAAUAUUGGAAAAGGCUCGCCAAUAAAAGAUUUUAAUCUUGGAUGGUUGAGACAAAUUCCAGAGAUAUUUCUGCCACCCUGUGUUAGUACUAGAACUGGAAGGCCAGUCCUUGAGUUUCAAACGAAAGGCCACAUGGUAGCCACUCUUUACGUUAUAGUGGCCUCACUUAUCAUAUGUCCAGACCAGUUGAUCCUCCAAUGGCUUUUUGGGUAAUAGGAUUUUCAAAAUCUGAGUUACAUCUUCUUUGAGAAAAUUAGUUCUUAUUAACUAUUCUUUCCAGCAUCCUUCUUCGUCAAUCAAGAUGGCUACUCGAGAUUGAGAAAGUAGGAUCUGAGGAGAGAAUGAUUUGAAUGUGCUAGGACGAGGAAGUCAUCUGUGGUGAUAAAUAGAAACAGUUUUACCAUAUCUAAUUCUCUAUCUUGAGGCAGCCUCAAUGACCUCUUUCCCCCAUAAGAUACUUCUCCAUAUAUAUGAAGGAUUACUACCCAAUUUACUCUCCAUGAAGUUGCCUCUUGGAUAGUAUUUAGCUUUAAUAACUUUGGAGACUAGAAAGUGUGGAAAAGAAAUUUAUCUCCAGUAUUGUUUUGCUAUAAGAGCUUUAUUAAAAGAGCUCAACUCUCUAAAACCAAGGCCCCCAUAUUCCUUUGAAAGGCAGAGUUUCAAAGAGGCAACCAGUGAAGGCUUUUGGAGGAUAAAUUCUGACUCCACCAAAAUUGGCGAUUAAUUUUUUCAAAUCAUCACAAAAGCUGAGAGGGAACUUAAAGACACUCAUCGCAUAUGUGGGGAUAGCUUGAGCAACAACUUUGAUCAAUAUCUCUUUACCGCCGCUUGAGAAUAAUUUGGCUUUCCAAAUCUUUAAUCUUGUCCCAAAGCUGGGUCUUUAAUGUAUUAAAGAAGAAUUUUUUACUUCUGCCCAGCUUCAAUGGGAGACAAAGAUAUUGCUUAUGAUGAGAGACAACAUAAAGGUUGAAGACAUGUUUAAUUGCCUCUCUGAUGUUUCCUGGAGUAUUUGGACUGAAAAAUAAAGAUGAUUUUUGAAAAUUGAUGACUUGGCCAGAUGCAUUACUAUACAGAUCAAACAACUCUUUGAGAUGGUUAUAUUCUGCAAUCGUUGCUUUGAAGAACACCAAGCUGUCAUCAACAAAAAAUAAAUGAGAAAUAGUAGGGCCCUGGACACCAAACUUAAUGCCAUGAAUGAAUUUAUGAUUUUCGGCAUAGACCAAUAAAAAAGAUAAAGAUUCUGCAUAUAGAAUAAAUAGAUAAAGGGAAAGAUGACAUCCUUAUCGCAACCCUCUCUGGGGAUUGACGAGACCUCAAACUUCGCCAUUAAGAAGGAAGGAGAAUGUAGAUGACAUGUGCAUUUAAUUGUGAGACUCACCCAUCGAUUUGAAAAUCCUAGCUUACGCAUAAUGCCUUCUACAAAACACCAUUCAAUCCUAUCAUAAGCUUUGCUAAUGUCAAGUUUUAUAGCAACCAACCCCUAUUUUUCAUGUUUAUUGCAUCUAAUCUUAUGGAGACACUCAUAGCCAAUUAUGAUAUUAUCUGUGAUCAGUCUUUGAGGAAUAAAGUAGGGAUGGCAAAAUCUGGGUCCGGGUCCGGGUUUGGCCUUCCCGGUUCCGGACCCGGAUACUAAAAUGCUAUACCGGACCUGGAUUUAAACCCGAUUUUUGUGACACCGGGUCCGGAACAGGUUAAACCCAGAUUAUUUCGGGUUUCUGGAUUGCGGGUUUUCAACCCGGAUCACAUACAAAUAAAAAAAAAUCAAAUACACUUUACAAAUUUGCAAAACCAGAUCAACAUAAAUCAAAUACAAAGUAAUAAACCAUUUUAAUUUUACAGAUUUUUAAUUUCAAAACAAUAAACCAUUUGCAAAUACAGAUCGAUGACAUGACACUCACAAAAUACAAAUCCAUGUCUACAACUCAAAAUCGUGAUUCACGGAUUUGGUUCACAAACUUCAACAAUCGGUGUCCGGCGAAGUAACGAACAUCGGUGGCUGAUGAUAUGAUGAUGAUGAACACGUCAUUGCUGCGAGCGCGAUUCGCAAAAGGCAGAUGAACGGCAGCUAAAACCGAGAUCGCAAUGGACAAACGACGGCCAAAUGAAGGCUGGUGAUGAUGAUGAAUGUGAACACAACGAAGCGAAGCGAUGAGGAGUGACGACGAUGAUUUGAUGAAAAGAAGAACUGAAGAGAAAAAGGAUGAUUUGAUGAAGAGAAUAAGUGAAUGGGAACGGAAAUGAUGAUUUGAUGAAGAGAAAAGAAAAAGGUAGAGAGAGGCGAUUGUGAAAGUGUGAAAUGAAGAGAAGAGAAAAUAAAGAGGACGAAAAGGAUGAUUAGGGCAUCAACAUUUUUCCCCUUUUUAUAUUAAAAAAUAAUUUAAAUAUUAUGCUAAAAUAAGAAUAUCCGGUUCCGGGUUUUGGAUAUACGGGUUAUCUCAAACCCGGAACCGGACCCGAAUCCAUUCGGGUUAUUAAAAUCUAUUCCGGACCCGAAUUUUUUUACAUUCCGGUACGGAUUCAACCCGUCCUGGAUUAUCCGGGUUCAUCCGGGUCCGGGUUAUUUUGCUAUCCCUAGAAUAAAGGCAGAUUGGCUAGAAAACCAAAUUAAAGUGGCGGCUAGGGUUUUCAAAACUUGUAAAGUUUUGAUUUUUUUUUUUUUUUUUGGUGAUGGAUUUGGUGGGAAGAGAUGUGGGUAUCCAGGAAAGCUGUACGAUUCACACAGAACCGCUCUCAUACCAAUUGAUGGAGCGGCAUAGCAGAAGCAGAAAUUGAUAGGAUAGGAAAACUAGAUAUCAUUCUAGCACUGGACCAAGCCAACCUGAUUAGCUUACGCUCUAAUCGAAGCGUGAUUAGAUAUCAUUCUAAUCUAGACGAUUCAAUGAGAUUUUUAAUAACGCAUAAUGCGAGAUUAGAUGACGUUCUAAUCCAAAUGACUUUACGAGAGAGAUUUUGAUAGAUAAUUUCAGAGGGAAUUAUAAAAUAGGGUUUUUUUUAAUAGAGUAAACCCGCUUUUUUUUUUAUAUCUAUUUUUUUUAUAAAAUAGAUAAUUUUUGAAGUUCUGAAAACAAUAACAAGACAUCUCUAUUUAUAAUAGAGUAAACCCGCUUCCCUAAGUUAACUUAAAAAGAGAAAAUAAUCACAAUUAUAAUGAAAAUAAAAUAUACUUUUCCUAAGUUAACUAAAUCUCAUACCUUAAUUGUCUCUAAUAAAAACAAAAAGUCCUAAAAUAAUAAAAUACCAUAAUUGACUCUAAUUAAAAUAAAAAUUCCUAAAAUAAUAAAAUUCUACAAUCUUAAAAUUCCUAAAUUAACCUAAAUUAACUUCCUACAUCACAAGCUAUUAAUCCUCCCAAGUACGAUCUGUUGGCUCCACCAUAUUCGAGAACAAUACCAUAUAUAUGAAUAAUAUUGUGUACAUAAAUAGUACCGUAUACGUGAACAAUACUAUCUACACCAACUACAAACCGUCGGCUCUAAUACCAUUUGUUGUUCGCGAAAUACAGAAUCAAAUGCACCAAAUAAUCACAGAAAAAUAAAGAACACAAGAAUUUAAAGUGAUUCGACAAUUAUGCCUAUAUCUAUGGGAGUAAGGGAUAAUAAUUGUAUUACUAAUAAUUAUUUAAGUACAAUAUUUAAGUAAAGAAAUUUCUCUUCUUAAAACCUAAAUACACCCAGUACUCUCAUACAUGGUUAAAAAAAAAAAAUCUUUCAAUUGCUCACUCUCAGCAAUUCUUCACUUGAAUUAUUUAUAUCAAAUUUUAAGAUGAUGCCUUCAAACUUGCACUAUUACACCUAACCCUUUAAUUGCAUUUCAACAAUUUCGGCCACUAAUUUGAAAAACUCUUUAAUUUCAUCCAAAAAAGUCUUCAUAAUUUUGCAAAAGUCUUCAUGCCCUUUUUUAUUUUAACAUAUUAAUGGUAAUCCAUACGGAAGGGUAAAUUAGUCAUGAGACUUCACAACUGAACAAAAAAUAAUACAAGAGAAAUGAUUUUAACUCAUAAAGCGUGGUAGAUUGACUCCACAGAAUAUUCCGAAGAGAAAAACAAAAUAGUAAUAGACAAAAUUCAUUGUCAUCAACCACCAGAGAAUAGCAGGCAGCACGGUUGUGCUGGUUUGACUUUUCUCAUCUUCUAGCUAUACCCCUUUCCUCUACUCAAAUCUAAUUUUUUUCCUCAACAAAACAAAUUUUAGCACAUAAUUUUUUCUAAUAUAUCACUUUAUCACUAAAAUUUGUUGCCAAAUACUUUUCUUAACUUAAAAUUUUAAUUUCUUUCAUUUUACCAUCAAUCCAUAAAAAAUAGCAGGAUUUUUAAUAGAAAUUAGGGAAAAAGACAUUAAUACUCUCACGAUUUGAGGAAAUGGUCAAUAAAACUCCAAAUUUUUAAAAAGAGAUACUAAGACCCCCAUUUAACCAUUAUACACUAUAUCUUAUUAUCCAAAAAAUUAACUUUAAUUUAUUAUUUAUCUGCUGUACGGCCAAGGCGGAUGUACGGUACAGCAGAUAAUAAAAUAUAUCUAUUAGAUUGUAAAAUAUUAAAAUAUUCAUAAAUAUUGAAAUUAUUUUAAAAUAUUUAUAUUAUCACAUUUAGUUUAAUGUUAUUAUAAUACAUUAGAGUUCAUUUUUUCGCGAUAAUAAAGAUAAAAGAUAUUAUAGUUAAAAGAGAAUUUUGGUGCCCUCUUUUCAAGACUUGGGGAUGUAAUGACCAUUUUUUCUAAAUUUUAAGAGUGUACAUAUCAUUUUCCCUAAAAGUUACAGUAAAAGUUUAUUUUCCCUAAAAUGUGCAAGUACAAUUUGACCGCUGAAUUUAAAAAGUAAAAUAUUAAUCAAAUACAAAAAAAUAUCACUUUUAUAAAUUGAUUAUUUUAAAUAUAAAUAUUAUAAUACUUUUGACUCAAGGAUUCCACAUUAGCCCCAAGACGUUGGUCUCUAACCAGAAAAGUAAAUGUUUGAGCUUGAGAAGCUUAUGGUCCAAUGGGACCAUAAAACUCACUAGGAUAAGUGGUAUUAUUAAACCAGACAAAACAACAAACAAUGAAACCAAAAACAGAUAAAGCACCUAAAUUAUAAGACAAGUUAGCCUCCCUAGACCCUACAAGUGCAUGGUGAGCCCAUGCAAAAAGCUUGGUUAAAAUAUGCGAGAUUCCAACAAAUAUACAAAUGAAACCUAACCAUACCUGACCUCCAAAAAUAUCUUCCAAAUCAUCCACACUAACAAUCCACCAUUCUCCUCCAAAAAGAGAAUUUUCGCAAAUAACUAAAAAUAACACAGGGCUAAGGGUCAAGUUGGAAGUUGGUAAUUUUUCUUCCAUCCCCCCCCCCCCCCCCCCCUCUCCAAGUGAGGUAGCACAUGAAUUAUGCUUGCCCCCAAAAUAAAGAACCUUGAAUGCUUGAACAAAUUUCUUAAAAUAUUCUUAUGACAUCAAUAAUUUCUUAAUGCGUUAAUGAUUUAGUUGUAAAAUAAUAAAAACUAAAACAUUAGAUAUCAAAAAAUAAUUAUUAAAAAAAUUGGGUUCAUAAUAAUUUAGAAAAAAAUUAAGUAAUAAAAUGAUAACGUCCAACAAAAAAAAAAAACUUAUAAUUUAAUAUCAAGCCUAUUUUCACGCAACUUUUAUUUUAAGGUUUUGAAUCCCAACCUUUUGCUAGGACUUGCCUUCUCAUUCCACAUUAUUACAGAGUAAAUGUGUCUUCCACAAAUAUAAAAACAAUAAAUACAAUUUAAUAUCGGGGACACUGGACGUUUACAUAAAGGGAAAAAAGAGAGAGACAACUAAAAAGAGAGAACGAAUACACUGAUUUAUUAACAUACUUGAACCAAAAUUUCUUUUUUUCUCCAAAAUUCUUAAUAUUUCCGAACUUUUCAUGGGAUUCUUGCUCUUUUUCUUGGGUCAAUAACUUUCCGCUCACCAAACACGAAAGAAUCAAGAAAAACAGGAUGCGAUGGUAAGGACAUUGGACAAAAUCCAUUGUAGUUUAUUUAGAAGGGAAAAUGACAAAAGCAUCUUCAAGGAAGAGAUACCCAACCCAAUACAAAUAGUCACAUCAUACGAACACAAGUAAGCCAAACAACAUCAAACCCCUUAGAUUAGCCAAAGAAAACUUCGUAGAAAUAAAUUUGCAGAAAAUAAUGUGAUAAAAAGGUUUGGCUGAAAAAUAAUAACCGCUAAUUAAAAUAAUUAUAUGAACUAUCCAAAUAAUUUUAUCCAAUAUCCAAUCAAUUUCUAUACGUGAUAACAUUUUAGAUAACCAUUAUCAACGUUGUGAACUUUGUGAUUACGAUACCCCAAGAUAACAACAGUAGGCGAAAAAAUUAAUUUUCCUUUAUUGCAGCUUAUUUUACAAGGGAAAUACAAAAAAUCGAAAUACAAACACACAAUAGGAAAACAACUAAAUUACCCUUAAUCCAUAUAAAGAUAAUAAAAUAUUUUAUAAAAAUAAUAAAAUAUUUUAAUAGACUUAUGUGUACAAAUUUUAAAAACUAAUAUUUCCUUAUAAUUUUCAAAAAAAAAUGAGGAACCGCAACGUUAAUAAUCAAGUGAUUAAAUUCUUACUGUUAGAAUAAUUUUUACAACUCUUAGUUGAAUCUAAUGAUUAAAUCACAAAAAGACAAAAAAUAAACAUCAAAUCACAACCACUCGGGCAGUAGCCCGAGUGGCCAGGGCUGCUGCCCUCCAACUUGGAGGGCAACAGUUCGAACCCCUAUAAAAAUAUUGUGGGGGUAUUUCCUUCUUCAAUUAAUUUGAGUGAAGGUAGUCUUAUUCCUUACCUAUGAGUGAGGAGUAGACAUCCCUCGAAUAUUUGUGAGGGUUAAAAUUUUGGCAGAGCUCCAUUAGCAUUGAUGUCAGUUGGUCCCAAUAAUAGUCUGAUUUAUAAAUAUCAGUAAUAAUCUCAUGUAUAUAAAUUAUAAUCUGAGCAAUAAUCUCAUCUAAUAAAAAAUAAAUAAACAUCAAAUCACGGUUGCAUAAUAACUGAACCCUAUCAACGUUGUAAACUUCGGCCAUGUUUGGCAGGCCGCAUUAUGCUGUAUCAGGGCUCUGCAUUGCAUUAAAUUAUCACAAUACGGAGCUGGCUAAGUUACAGAUUCUGUAACUUACACAGAUCCAACUGUAGCCAACUCCUAUUGCCUGCAUUUGCACAAUGUUUCUCUCUCCUCAGAACACGUGUGCUGUUUCCCUUUGGGUGUGUACGUUACAGAUUCUGUAACGUAGAUUGGUCCAUCACAAUACAAUAUUUGGCACUUCUUCGUUAUUGCAUUAAGAAAAAAAAAUUAAUGCAGGAAACCCGCAUAACGGAAACCCGAGUGAGACUCGGGUUUUUACCGUAUUAGCUUCUUCUUCUUCAUCUUCUCUAUUUCUCUCUCUUUCUUUUUCUUUUAUUUUUUAUUUUCCUUUUCCCCUCUUAUUCUUCAUCUUCUCUGUUUUUCUCUCUUUUUUCUUUUAUUUUUUUCCUUUUGCCCUCUUCUACUUCGUUUUCUCUGAUUCUCACUCUCUCUUUUUUCUUUUAUUUUUUCCCUUUUCCCCUCUUAUUCUUCGUCUUAUCUGUUUCUCUCUCUCAUUUUUCUUUUAUUUUUAUUUUUUCCUUUUCCCCUCUUCUUUUUCGUCUUCUCUGUUCCUUCUUUUUCUGAGGUUCUUGUUUGUCAUCUUCUCCAUUUCUUUCACCAUCUUCAUAUAACCACUAAUAGGCGCAGCCGCUGCCUCCCUUAGUUGCUUUAUAUGUUUGAUUCAGGGGGUUUGAUUUUUCAGAUUGGUUGAAGACGACAAUGAUGGAUGAAAUUUGUUUGAGAUGAGAUUGAAUGCCUUCACAAAAUUUUUAUUUUAUUAUGCUACACGAACCAUUAUUGAUAAUUAUUUUUUUUAAGAAUUUUGUUUAUAAAAAAACAAUUGUUCAGAAUUUUGUUUAUAAAAAGACAAUGGUUGUACAACCCGUGUUGAUAACUAAAUUUGAGUUUACAAAUUUGUUUAAAAAAAGACAAUUGUUGUCAUCAUUUAUCAAUAAAAUUUAACAUUUAUACUAAAAAAAAUUGUUAAAAUUUUUAAAAUUUAAGACCUCUAUUUUUUUAAUUUUUUAAGUACUAAUAAUUACUAUUUUUUAAAUAUAUAAUUUAAAUUAAUCACAAAAAUUAAUACAAUAUAAUAUAAUUAAAAAUUAAUAUAAUACAAUAUAACACCAAAUACUAUACAAUAUUAUUAUAAUACAACAUAAUAUAAUACACAUAUAUUAAAAUAAUACAAUAAAAAUAUACAAUUCAAUAUACUAAACACACUCUUCGUGAUUACCAUACACUAAGAUAACAACAGUAGGGGACAAAAUUAAUUGUCCUUUAUUGGAUUAUUGGAGCUUAUUUUUACUAGGGAAAUACAACAAUCCGAAUACAAAAACACAAUAGGAAAACAACCAUCACAAGCCAAACCAACAUCAACCACCUAAAGAAUAAGCAGGCAGCACGAUUGCGCUGCUUGACUUAUUCUCAGCUCCAAGGUAUGUCCCUUUUUCUCUCUACUCCAAUCCUAAAUUUGUCCUCAUCGCUGAAACAAAUUCAAACACUUUCUUCCCAUCAGGAAGUGCCUUGGCAACAGUCUCCCUCUGCAAGCAUCUCUUCACCCAAGCUAUGAACUUGGGGCACUCAGCCUCGACGUUGAACUUUCCACAUGUCUCAUACGUGUAAAACCAACAAUAGAAUGGGAUCAAACUUAAAUCCACAUACCCAAAAUUGUCUCCUCCGAAGAAAGGCUUGUCUCCAAGCUGCCCUUCCAAAGUCUUCAGAACUUCAAAGAACUCCUUCUUAGCUGCCUCCUGCUCUUCUCCCUUUGUGGUCCAUGUCUUCCUCAAAGAAUCGUACAUCUGCAAUUUACUUUCAAUAUUGUAUCAGAAAAUCUGUCCGAAAAUGGAUAAAAUUUAACACAUUCAGGUUCAGUAUCCAUUUCAAGACAACAAAAUCAGCAACAGGUAGGUUACAGUCUUACACUUAGCUGCAAAACUAUGUAGAGGCCAAGAAACAUCCAGAAAAAUAAAGGACUGAAUUGAAAUUUUACUAACUUCUACGCAUAUCUUAAGAUUUUCAAGACUAGAUUUUACCAUCUCAAAAAUAUAGAACCCACAGACAUCCAGCUAUUCCUUAAAAAAAAAAAAAAAAAAAAAAUUUUUGUAAACUCACACCCUCUAAAGCUAAAACCAAGAGCUAAACAUUAAGAAGGCCACUACUUACUACCCUUACUACUGAAACUAGACUUUUAACUGCAAAUAUUCAGCCUACUCUAGUUUAUAGUAUUCUCACUAUGAUCCUCAUCGUUGGCCUCUCAGAUUUACUGACUUUUUGCUACAACCUACUAAAGUUUAUAAUAUCUGCAUCAUAGUCCUGUAACAACCAAAAUCUUCAACUCUGUAGGGGACAUCUUUUCCCCCUCCGUUCAAUGCAACCCCUGUUUAUUUGUAGUCAAACAACAAAUCCAUGACAUCUACUCGACAAUGAAAUAUUUUAAUAACAAAAUUUCGGCUUCUAUUUUAAUAAAAUUACAAUUAAAUCUAAAAUUGAAAAAAUACCCAUAAACAUACUUCAGAAAAUCAACAACAAAGUUACCUUCUUGUCAAUGAAAUCUACCCAGAACCUAGCUUGAGCUCUCUGGUAGGGAUCAGAGGGAAGCAAUGGAGCCUUGUCCUUCCACACUUCAUCAAUGUACUGAACAAUGAUGGGUGACUCACAGAACGGUCUGCCGUUGUGGAUGAGAACCGGGAUCUUCUUGUGAACGGGGUUCAUCUGCAGAAGCAGGGGGCUCUUGUUCUUCAAGUCCUCUUCCUUGUACUCAUACUUGACGCCUUUCUCCGCCAGAGCAAUCCUGACCCUUAUCCCAAACAUGCUGGGCCAGAAAUCCAACAGAACCACUUCGUUCGCCAUUGUGACAGAAGCUUACUAAGAGUCAAGAGUGAAUAAAUGAAAAGACAAGACAAACACGCCGAAAGUAAAGUUACGAGAGUGAGAAUUUAUAUCGAAAUGUUGGCACUAAGUGGGUUUGGACUUAUCAAAUGUUUAAGAUGACGUCUCCUAAAAAGACAAAAAAAUGUUGGAGAUGACCGUACGUGGCUAAUGUGUGGUGUCUUUUCUUCGCCAGAAAUAUCUGAUAUUCUCCUGGCCUCUUCGGGUUCAAAAUAAUAAAUAAUAAAUAAAGUGAAGGUGUAAAACAUUCUAGGCUCUUCCAUCUCCAGGAUAGGUCAUAGCUUCCGUCACAAUCACGUCCUAAUUUUGUUUUGUAUAAAAAGAUACUCAUCCCAAAUUUUAUUGUAAUUGAUAUGAUAUUUAUUAGAAUUUUGCUACCUUACAUGUGAUAUAAAGUAUAGUCUCUCAUAAGACUGUAGGCUCAAAUAGAAUUCAUAAUUUAAUUUGUGAGAGGUUGUACCUUACAUUACAUGUAAGAUAGUAGCUCCCUAUUCAUUAAAUAUUGAUAAUUUUUUAUAAUGAUCAUAUUAUUUUAUUAAUUAAUUGUUGAAUGUCUUAUUAAUUGAGAUAGUUUUUGUGACAAAAAUUUAAGUUUUGUAGUAUUAUUCAUUUUUUUUCACAAUAUUUUUUUUAAUGAGGAGGGUAACAGCCAUCACUUAAUAAAAAUUUCAUUUAACAAAAUUUAGAUGGCAAUUUAAGAGCUAAUUUGAUAAUACUGUAGUUUUAUUAAUAUUUAUUAUUAAUUGUAUUAUAGAAAUAAUCAAUUAAAAAUAGAAUCAACUAAGUAGUUAGUAAAAUUCAUUUUUAAAAGUGUUGUAAAUUUUAGUUAGUAAAAUUUAUUUUUAAAAAUGCUGUAAAUUUUAAAAUCAGUCGUAUACGUUUUAUAAAUUUUAUUGUUGAAUUAUUAUAAGAAUAAAUAUAAUUAAAAUAAAAAUAAUAUUAAUAAAAUUUAUUUGUACAUUUAAGAAUAUGUAUAUAUGUGUUGGUGGUAAAAUGUAGACUAGAGUUAUUGAGGGCAUGACAUAUGGGGAGUAUGACUCAGGACCCGAUAAACGAUGUUGAAAAGGUGAGAUGAAAUAGGAAAAUCUUGAAGAACUAGCCUCAACCAUCCAAAUUGUCUAAGAGUAAUAGAAAAAUGCAUUCUACAAGACCACAAGACAGUGACAGACAUGCCACGGUGCCCAUCUGGAUUGUCUCUAGAAUAUCUCCUUACAAGUUGCCAAAGUCAGAAUUAAGAAAGAGGAACGACACACAAAACCACUUGCACCAUCUCAAGUGAAGUUAGGUGCUUCUCAGGCCAAUUGGUUAAUUCAAAAUGGGCCAAUUAGGGUUGGGACAUGCUGUCAGCACAGACUGUCACCCAAUGGACAACUAUCUAAUCCAAGCAAGCUUAAAAGCCUAUAUAAGAGGGACCAAAUUACCUUUAAGACCCUACCUAAGGAGGAAAAUCACUAAUAACGGCUCACCACAUGUCCAAAAGAACAUAAAGAUGCUCUCAUGGGCACUUUACUUUAAAAAGUCAGGUAGGUUUCUCAAAGGGAGUAAGUUCACUCACUUACAAAACACUAAAUAUUUAUUAUUAUAGGGUUUCUCUAAAAACUCAUAACCUCCUUCAACCUCCUCCUAACUUGACCAUCAAAGUGUCGUCGCCAACAACCACCGGCACCGCCUCUAACAACUGGUUUCUUUGUUUUCAUGUUCGUCUCAGCGUUACUGUCCCCAAACAAUUGUUUCCAGACAGCCUAAUCUUUAUCUUUACCAAAAAACCAAUUUCUACAGAGAAGCUCUCAUAGUAUUUUGGGCUAAACCAAAAUCAAACCAAAACAUUUUGGAAUUGUCUGCAUGGGAUCGAACAAAAGGUUGUUAUUCCAUCCUUUAUUGACAAAUAGAGCUCCUCAUCUUCUAGGAAAUUCUCAAAAAGGUCAAAGAAUUGAAGAAAAGCGUCAUAGGAGUAGAAAGCGAGGAGAUUCUCAGAGAAGAGAACCCAAUGGUUAAUGGCUUAACAAGAAAUGUGUCCAAAUGAGAGGUCAUCUUCCCCAAUAUUGUCGUUGUGGAAAGAGUACUCAAACACUGCAUCUUCGGGGAUCAUCUCCUUGAGGUGAACUUUGUGGUCAUUGAGGGAUCUUAGAUGGACUCCAUAGUCAAUUAGUUGCAGAAAGGGGUUGUCCCCAAGGAUAAAAACAAGGCUUGAGGACUCAAAAUCUCUCAAGGGAUUGUCAUUGGCAAUGGGACUCAAUUUAAUAAUUAGAGUUUUCGAGAUUUUUGCACUAAUCUAAGGAUCGCCAAUUGAUUCGUCUUUCCAGCCCAUUGCCAAUCAAAUGGGCAAGUAGGGUCGCCAAUAAGGCCGUCAAGCACUUAUAAAGAAGAAACUAGACAAUUAGAACGUUCAUCCUUAUGCCUUCAUUGAAGAAGAUCUAAUGCUCUGCCGGGACACCUAGAACACCAAGGAUAUUAGGGAAGACAAUCUCAGUGCGAACUAUGAGGGACCCAGUAUGGUCAAAUGAGUGCUUAAAUCUAGCGCAUACAUGUUGCUGCACCUCGAUGGAAGAAGAGUCAAACACCCCUAGAACAUUGCCACGCUCCGAAAUUGUUAUCAGUAACCUAGGGGAUUAUCUUCACAGCCAAUCUCCGAAAAGGGGCUGGUAUAUCUAUUUACUCUUGCAGUUUUACUUUGCUUUUAUUUCUUAUUUUAUACUAUGAUGACAAUCCAAGAGGGAGCCUUUUAUGACUGAGGGAUCCCAUUCAAUUGGAGAACUACUAAUUUUGUAACCAUUCAGAUGAGGUGCAUGCAUCGCCUCUUUAUUAACAAAAAGUAUUAUUCAAUAGAUAUAUAUGUGUCAAACUACUAAUUUUAUCUUGUAACACAGCUAUGACACUAAAAAAAGGUAUUUUCUAUAAACCCUCGAGAUCUUUAUAAAUUGAAAAAAUAGGUAUCACACAUGGAAAGGUAAAUCCCCGUAUCACAGAGGCAUAUUCUAAAAUACUAUCUAAGCAACCCAAAAGGGGGGUUGAAUUGAUAUUUUAAAACUUAAGCUAAACAAAACACAUAACAAUUCAAUCUAUUUCCUUAAUGAAAUAAAAAUAAAUAAAUUUAAUAAAGCAUAAUAAUAAAAGAUAAAGGAAGAGAGAACAAAGACAACGAUCUUUACGUGGUUCGGUAAUCCCCGCCUACGUCCACGCUUCCAAGCUCGCAAGACUUGAGGAUUUCACUAAGCAAGCUUCUAAGGCUUCAAAUGCUUACAAUUGACUUCCAAGGUAUCAUUGGAUCUUCACAACAAGAGAUUAUCCCCAAUCUCUUAACCCAAAUGUAUCCCAACACUUACAAUCUCUUAACUUGAUUUACAAAAAAGAUUACAAAUGAAUUUCUCUCACACAAUGUGUUUGAUCACAAAUGAAAGCUCAAUGUGUGAAUGAAUGAGAUGAAUAUAAGAAUUUGAAAGUUGUAUGCUCAGUAUUUUGCUCAAUGAUAAUUGUUGGAAUUGUUGAAGUUUGAAUUUGAUUGAGUUUAUUUAUAGUUGGAGCUAAAAACUAGUUGUUAUUGACUUUCUGCUCACUGUCGGAUCGCCGUUAACUAGAUGUCGGCUCGCCGUUAGUGUUUAGAGGGUAAGCUUCAAUUCUGUUCGAUGUCGGCUAGCCGUUAUCAAGAUGUCGGUUAGCCAUUUGUACAGUGAACUAUUUUCUAAAAUUUAUAGUUUGGCCCUAAAAUUUUAUAAAAUUAUAUUGUGGCCCAAAACUAUAUGAAACGUUUCACAUAAGACCUUCUCUAGAAUUCCAAGCAAUACUUAUUGAUUUCAAAGUUCUCAAAACUCUUUUAAUUAGACCAUGAACUUGAAAAACAAUCAAUUUCGUAAAAUCAUUUUUCCAUUAAAUAUAAAACUUUUAUAAUAUGAAAAUAAUGAUUUAUUUAAAAUGUAUAAAAAAAUAUUUUGAACUCUUAAAAACUUAAUAAUUCUUAAUUUUGUUUGUUAUCAUCAAAAUUAACAUUAUGGACACAUAAAUGUUAACAAUCUCCCCAUUUUCUUAUGAUGACAAACAUUUCAUGUAUUUAAAGAAUGAUUCCAUAAAUUACUCCCCCUAAAUGUAAGUUUCUCUUACAAUUUAACAAAUCUUUCAUGUAUUUAAAGAAUGAUUCCACAAAUUACUCCCCCUAAAUGUAAGUUUCUCUUACAAUUUAGCUAAAUUAAAAAAUUUUAAUACAUGUAUUUUCUUCCCCUUCAUCAUAAAAAAGAAAACUUAGUGGAAAAGAAAAAAGAGUAGCAAAUUUGUUACCCAUGUUGUCCGAGUAGAAAUUUCGAUAGAAUCUCCUCCUAACAACAAGCAUUACCUCAAAUACAAGUUUAAUAAUAUUACUCCCAAAUUAUUAUAAAUCAUGAUACAAGCCAAUUCCAUAUACAAAUCAUCACACAAUCCAUCAACCAUAAAAUGAUUAUGAACCAUUAGUCCAUCAAUUACCAAAUCAACAACUCAUAACAUAAAAUUAUCAUAUAAAAUAACCAUGUAAUCAAAUCAUCAUCAUAUCCCAAAAUCAUCAAAAUCAUCACAAUAAUCACAUAUCAAUCAUCAAAACAAUACUCAAAGUGCAUAUUAUUCUCCUCCUUUUCACAACAUCGAAAUGAUAUAUUACUUUGUCUCCCCUUUUGGACAACAAAAAAGUUCAAAACGCAUAUUAUCUAAAAUCAUAUUGUAUGCUCCCCCUAAAUAUAUGGUCAAUUUAAAAUUUUAACCAAAAUGAUUUUAUCCAAAAACUUAUCAUAUUUAUCUCCUCCUUCAUCGUAAAAAAGAAAAGAUAGAUAGAUGCAAUUUGAUUAACACUAAAAAGUAUACGUGUAAUAAAGAUAACAUUAUUAGUUUUACACUUAUUGUGUCGAUUAAUACGCUCAUUAUUUAUAAAUUAUCUUAAUACUCUCCAAAUCUAUUUUUAUGUUAAAUUAAUUCGCAAUAUGUUAAUUUUUAUCUUAUAAAUAUUUUUCAGGAAUAAAGAUGAAAUUGGAAUUGAAAGCGGGAACAAAGAAGAACUAUUGGAGCACAAUUGAGGAGAUAUAAUAAAAAAAAUUAAAAAGAGCAAAAGGCAACCAUGCUUUGGUUGCCUGUGAUGGUCAUGAGGCUAUCACACCUCCUGGCCAUCACACUUCACAACAUUCAUUUAAUUUAUAAAAAAAUAAAAUAAUAAUAAAUUAAAUAAGAAUAAAAAGAAUGAAGAGGUGGCGAUUGUUGCCUAUAAAAGCCGACGAAGCGAGGAAGGGAGGAAAGAGCCGAUUUCUGAGAGAGAAUAGCCAAGGGUGUAGUUGAAGAAUUUCUUUCUUUCUUUGUUUCUUUUCUUGUUUCCAUCUGUAUCAAUUUUCUUUGUAACAUAUUUUCAAAAGUUUAUCAAAUAAAAAGAGUGUUGUGUUUUCUUUCAAUAUGAGUGGAUAAUUUUAUUAAGCUGAGGUGAAUUGUGAAGCUCAAUGUUUCAAAUUAUUAAAUUUAUUAUUUUCUCAAAUGAGUUUUUAAGUUUAUUUUAUUUUUUUCUAGUUAUUUUUAUAUCAUGUUAAUUUAUAAAUCUCACUGGAUUUUAUGGUAUUUUGACAUAAUGUCGACACAUUAAUUGUGGCACAUUAGGUACUGUAUUUCAUAUUUAUUCACGUCUUUUAAUCUUAGUAAAUAUUUAACAUUUCAUUUGGUAUCAUAACAUUAAGUGCAUUAACAUGAAGUGGAUAAGUUUAUCUUGCCUAUUUAUUAUGUUGAGUGGAUCAUGAUAAAUGGAUAAUAACUUGAAUUUGUGAAAGUAUACUUGUAUGUUUACAUGAUUGAAUUAUCAUUGUGUUUAACAUUGAGUCUGCUGUACCGUACAUCCGCCUUGGCCGUACAGCAGUUUUAUAUCAAUGUCAAAUAAUUUCUUUGCCCCGCAAUUAAUUUUCUUUGUUUUAAAUUGACCACUAGAUUUUAAAUUCUCUGUGGUUCGACCCUGGACUCAUCGAGUUAUAUUAUAACUAGACACUCUUAUACUUGGGAGUAAUAACACUUUUGAGUCGUGUCAAGUUUUUGGUGCCGUUGUCGGGGAGUUUUCUAAAUUUGGUGUUAGUUUGUCUUUACUUUAUUUACUUUAUUUUAUUUUUGUCGUUACUAUCUUUUGGUGAUUCUAUUUUAUUCUUUUUGUGUAAAACUUCAGUUAGCACCCCUCCUCUUUUCAAACUUUAAUAUUUUCCGUAAAAUUUGUGGGAAACUUCAUCUUAGCCCAGAAACCUUUGCAAAUCAGUCCCCAAAUCGAAUUUAUUUCUUUAAAUUUAAGCAAUUUACUUUCUGCAUUUAUUUUAAAUGGUCGGUUUUACCGCCUGACUAUUAUUUAAAUUUUGUUAAUUUAUGUAUUUUUGUUUAUAUGGUCGGUUCUACCGCCUAGCAUUUUAAUUUCAGUUUAUUGAUUCUUGUACAUUAAUUUAUUUAAUUUUAUGUUUUAUAAUAUGCCUGGUUUUAAAAUACCGCUUAAACUGUUUCUUUUAAUUUCUUUGUUUAUGGCUUGUUUCACCGCCUAAUUUAUUUAUUUAUUUAAUUUCAGUUUGUUUAUUUUUAUUUUUCAUUUUUAUUUUGCUUAUUUAAUUUCCAGUUUAUUUUUAUUUCUGUAAUUUUCAUUUAGCGUUUUAUGCAUCAUUGGUUUAGCACACAUCAUUAGCAUUGCAUGUGUCGUUGGUCUCGUACAAAUAGUGGCAGAUUAAUUAGAAGAUCACCUUCACCACCCUUAGAUAUGGCUAACACAGGAGCUGAAAAUUUUUCGGAGUACGAAAAUGACCAAGCCUUGCAAAAUCUUCAUGAACAGUCUAGGACUCUUAGAGACUUCAUGCAUCCUACUAGAACAGAGUCACCAUCAUGCAUAGUUUUCCCUCCUGAUGCAUCGCGUUUUAAUUUCAAACCUGGUAUCAUUCAACUUCUUCCUACUUUUCAUGGUUUUGAGUCUGAAAAUCCAUAUUUGCAUUUAAGGGAAUUUGAGGAAGUCUGUAACACAUGUACUGAUCAAAAUUGUAGCAUGAAUAUAAUUGGGCUUAAGUUUUUUCCUUUCUCACUAAAGGAUAAAGAUAAAACUUGGCUAUAAAAUCUUAGGUCAGGAUCCAUCAGAACUUGGGAUAAAACUUUAGUACCACAUCUAGACCACUUUGUAACCUCCUAAUAAAAGACACACCUUUUGAAUGGACUAAAGAUUGUCAACAAGCUUUUGAAAAAAUAACUACUCUUUUGACAUCAGCCCCAAUAAUGACACCCCCUGAUUGGUCUUCACCUUUUGAGCUAAUGUGUGAUGCUAGUGAUUAUGUCGUUGGCGUUGUUCUGGGUCAAAGAAAGGAAAGUAAGCCCUUUGCCAUCUAUUAUGCAAGUAGAACUUUGAAUAGUGCUCAAAUGAAUUAUACUACAACUGAGAAAGAAUUACUUGCUGUAAUAUUUGCAUUGGAUAAAUUUUGUUCGUAUUUAAUUGGUUCAUCUACUGUUGUUAAUUCUGAUCAUGCUGCUGUGAGAUAUUUAAUGUCAAAACAGGAUGCCAAACUAAGGUUGAUACGAUGGAUUUUCCUACUUCAAGAAUUUAAUUUGACAAUCAAUGACAAAAAUGGCGCUGAAAAUAUUGUUGCAGAUCAUCUUUCAAGACUUACAAAUGAGUCUUCAAUUGAAACAAUAUCCAUCAAUGAUUCUUUCCCUGAUGAAUUUUUGUUUUCUAUAAAUAAAAUGCCCUGGUAUGCUAAUAUUGUUAAUUAUCUUGCGACAGGUGAAAUGCCAUGUGACUGGAGUUCCCAAGACAACAUGAAAUUCUUAAUAGAAGUGAAAUGCUUUUACUGGGAUGAUCCAUACUUGUUCAAAUACUACUCUGAUCAAAUUUUUUGAAGAUGCAUACCAGACGACGAGGUAAGUAGGAUCAUUCAAUUUUGUCAUUCUGAAGUGUGCGGUGGCCAUUUUUCUUCAAAAAAGACAGCUGCAAAAAUGUUGCAGUGUGGAUUUUAUUGGCCUACAUUAUUUAAAGAUUCACAUGCAUUCUGUAAAAUGUGUAAGAAUUGUCAAAUGAUAUGGUCUAUUUCAAAGCAAAACAUGAUGCCUUUAAACCUUAUCCUUGUCAUUGAAAUAUUUGAUUGUUGGGGAAUUGAUUUUAUGGGCCCUUUUCCAUCAUCAUUUGGAUGUGUAUACAUUUUGGCUGCUGUUGAUUAUGUUUCAAAAUGGAUCGAGGCGAUUUCUUAUCGGCACAAUGAUCACAAGAUUGUGAUCCGCUUUUUAAAAGAAAAUAUUUUGAGCAGAUUUGGAAUACCUCGAGCCAUUAUCAGUGAUGGAGGUAAGCAUUUUUGUAAUAAGUCAUUUGAGUCCUUAAUAAAGAAAUAUGGAAUUACACAUAAGGUUGCUACCCCUUAUCACCCUCAAACAAGUGGUCAAGUUGAAUUAGCAAAUUGGGAGAUAAAAUAAAUUUUAGAAAAGACAGUGAAUCCAAACCGUAAAGAUUGGUCUCUUCGACUAACUGAUGCACUUUGGGCAUAUCGUACUGCUUUUAAAACAUCUUUAGGAAUGUCACCCUAUCGGCUUGUUUAUGGAAAAUCUUGCCACUUACCAGUAGAACUUGAACAUAAAUCAUUUUGGGCCAUUAAAGUUUUUAAUUCAAAUCUUGAUGAUGCUGGUAAUGUAUGUAAAUUGCAAUUAAAUAAACUUGAGGAAUUAAGGAAUGAUGCAUAUGAGAAUUCUAGAAUUAUUAAGGCAAGAACCAAAUUUUUUCAUGAUAAAAGAAUUUUUCGGAAAACAUUUGAAAUUGAUCAAAUAGUGUUGCUUUAUAAUUCUCGUCUUCAUUUAUUUCUAGGAAAAUUAAAGUCAAAGUGGAAUGGUCCAUUCGUUGUAAAAAAUAUGUAUCCAUAUGGAGCUAUAGAAACCGAGAAUCCAAAGAAUAAUGUCACAUUUAAAGUUAAUGGUCAAAAUUUGAAACCAUAUCUAGAAUACCAACCACGUGAAGCAGAUACCGAAAUCAAUUUGAGUGACCCACCAAAUUUUAAUUUUAACUUUUUAUGAAUUUGAUUUACUGUUACUCUAUCAUUUGAAUUGUUUGAUUUUUUUUUUCUUUUUCAUUUUCUCUCUGUCUUGAAUGGAGUGCAUUGUAUUGUUUUAAUUGUGUGUUGUUUGACAAUUGUGAUUUAGCUCACCAAUUUUUUAUACUUGUCAUGAGUGCCUCCAUGAGAAAUUUCCUUUUUGAUCAUCUUAAAGUGCUUUUACAUGUAAAAUUUCACCUGAGGAAAUUGCUCCGAUUUUGUAACUCACAUCCUAUUUGGAAUCUACAACCACCAUAGUUAGUAUCCCACGUGAAAGAUCAAGAAAGACAACUCAAGGAAAUAGAGGAUGGUAUUUAUAAUCUGCAAUUGGAACUGGAGGUAAAUUCAAUAAAAGGACGAAGGUGAGUUAUAUUCCUUGUGUGUUUUUGUUUUAUUUUGUUGUUCUUCUUUACUUUUGAUUUGAUUUUGCAGAUUUGAUUCGUUUUUGUUUUUAUUCACUCUCCCGUACAAAUGGCGGAUAAUGGUACUCCGUGACUUUUUAAGUCGGUAUUCUCAGUUUCCCACAAUAACUGAAACCUCAAUGUCAAGCAUGGACGAAAUACAACGAAAAUUGCAUCAACAUUUUCCUUCUCUCUCUCAAAAUGCUCUUAAGAAGAUUUACAAAGCUCGUUGUGAACGACUGCGUUUGUUAAUGAUCAAUGAGAUUCCUAUUAACAUUCGAUGGUUAAUUAAAGUAAAGGUCCGAUUGGCAGGUGAGUUUUCUGAUCCGUUCAUUUCCUACAUGCCUGGUUUUGGUAAAAGUACAUUUGCUAAGAAAAGAAGAGCUAAACGACUUGGCUCUGACUGUUCUCACUGUGUAAGACUUGCUUGCAAAAAGACAUGUUGUAAAACUUUAAGAAUGGUUUCUGUAAAUCGUAAAGAUAAAAUCAAAUUCGUUAAGGAUGACAUGAGUAAAGAAUCGUUGGAUGAUAUCUUACGAUCUCUUGAGACGCAUCCGAGCGAAUAUGUUCAACGUGAAAUUCAAAAUUUGUGGAAGUUGUUCCAAAUGGAAAGUGUAUAGUUUAGUCUUGGGAAUCUGACUCUAAAAGACCAUGUUUGCCAAUUUAUAAGAAAACUGGAUGGGAAGCCUAUCCUCGACCCAUAGAGGCGUUCAAGCCGUAACUGGAAGUAAAACCAAAGGAAGAUGUGAGCCACAAUCACAACUACCAGUAAAUAUCCUUUUAUUUUACUAUUCUUUUAUAUUUUGCAUUAUUAUUAUUAUUGUGUGUUUUUUUAUCUAAUCACUAUUUGUUUUUUCUUUUUAAUGUUUACCUUUGUAUUAUUAAGCUAAAAGUUUCACGCGUCAUUUGACAAACACACCACCCCAUUUACAAAUGUAUAUCAUUAUGUCCGUCACCAAGGUCCUUAAAUAAGAACUUCUUUUCAAGCACUCACAAAUUGUUUCUUUUUAGAAUUGUUCUAAUGGCAGCAACUUCAAGCAGUCAACUUAAAAAUAUUAGUGUACUUUCUGAAUUUUGCUAUGGAAAGUAUAAGGAGUUCGUUCAAGCAGCCAUAGAUCUUGGUCGUGCUAUAGUAGAGAGGAAACUACAUCUUGUAUAUGGAGGAGGUGGCUGGGAUUAUCAAAGCUUGUCUUUGAAGCUGCCUUCAUUCGAGGAAGCCAAGUGCUAGGCAUCAUUCCAAAAGCCUUAAAACCUUUACGAUGUCUACCAAACCCACCAACUGGAGAAGAGUUAGUUGUCUCAGGUAUGCAAGAAAGAAUAUCUGAAAUGUUAAAUCAUGCUGACGCUUUCAUUUUCUUGCUAGAAGAUCUUGCAACUUUAGAGGCGCUAAUUACAUUUGCUUCUUGGGCCCAUUUGAAUAUUCAUAAAAAAACACAUCGGUUUGUUAAAUGUUAAUAACUUUUAUGAUGGCGUAAUAACAUUUCUUAAUCAUGCAAUAAAAAAUUACUUCAUUCCAUCCUCAGCGAAAAAACUCUUCAUUUGUGCUCCUACUGCUAAUGAGUUACUUGAUCUUUUGCAAGCUUAUAAACCAGAGCCAGAUCCCGUGACUUUGGCGUUGGAUUGGGUAACUACGGACGAUGGCAGUAACUCUCAUAAAAAGUAUAAAUUAGAUUUAACUCUCUGUUUGUAAAUAUUUCGAGCAGUGGCUAUGUGAUAUCUUAUAAACUCUACUCUUUUCUUUAGACAUUGAGGACAAUGUCUCUUUCAAGUUGGGGGGAGGGAAUAGUUGGUAAUUAUGGAGUGUCUCAGUCCUAGUGAUGUUUUUACUAAUUUUUAUUGUAAAAACUAACUUUGAAUAAAAAUUUGAGUCGAAGAUGGCAGAAUAUAGAAUGUAGUGUCUCUAGAAAUGCAUCUUUCUUAAGUUUAGUGUUUUGUUUCCAAAAAAAAAAAAAUGUCUUCAAACGUUUUGUUUUCUGUCUUUUUUCUCUUUUUCUCUUAAUCAUCUCCCUUAAGUUUCUGCAAUCACUCCCAAUUUUUUUUAGUGUUUAUUUAACAAAAAAAAAGUUUUAUUUUUCAGUGUGAUCUUUUAACAUUGGAUAACAUGACGAUUUUUAAAUUUUGGUAUUUGUAUUAUCUUUGGUCUUGAGUUAUGUUACACUAUGUUUUCCCCUUUGCAUGUUGAAACGUAAAUUGAGAAAUUGGAUGAGUGAAAUUGGUUAAGCCAUUUAGAGGAAUGUACAUGUUAUGAAAAGAUCAAGCGAGUUUUUGAGUCUAUUAUCCUUGGAGAGUAACCUUAUUUGCCUAUACAGCUUCACAAUUUAUUGUACAAGAUCUCAAUAUUUCCUUUAAAAAAAGUUAAAAAAUAAAAUUUGUGCAGCCACAUCUAAAAGUCCAUUGAACUAGUGGAUAUGAAAAAUUAUAUAGAGCCCUAAAAGAUGACAGAAUGUCAUUUUUUAUCCGUUUGAGCCUUUCUAGCCAACCCUAUUAUAAAGAAUCCAUAGUUAACCUCUUUGAGCCUUUAAAAAAAAAAAAAAUUCUUUUGAUAACCUAUUAUCUUAUCCCACUCCAAUAUGGAGUAUCACCUUAUAUUUUAUGUUUCCCACCACCCAAUUAUGUUUGAAAAUAGGGAUGAUUAUUUAUUCCUAAUAAUAGUUUUAUUAAAAAAAAAGACGAUAUGUAUAUUAAAAAAAAAAGAGAAAACAAUUAAAAAAAAAUACCUUGUAAUCUCCAAAAAGUCCCAUAUUUUUCAAACAUCUAUGGACUAAAAGAUCUGGUGAUGCAUAAAAAUAAAAAUAAAUUUUGCUAAUAAUUCCCUAAGUUGAGAUCAUUUUAUUUCUAAGCUGUGCACCUUAUUCUUUCAUCUUAGUGAGAGCGUGUGAUAUUGUUUUAUUAUUCUCUCAAAUCUACCAUUUUUUUUAGAGUGAUAAUUUAAUUUGGGAUAUAUUUCUUUUGAGAGAGUUACUCUUAAUCGUGAUGUUUUGGGGUUUGAAGUAUCAUUCUUAAAAGUGGCUUGAUUAAUGUAGCUCUGAUAAUUGAUCAUUUUACAUUAUUUUACUUUACUGAUUUAUGUGAGUGUGAUUCUCUUUAGGCUGAAGAUAAUGCUUAUAUUUUUAUUUGAUUGUUGUCAUUGAUCCGAUGAAAGAAGUGAACACAAUUUUUUUUUAAAAAAUCAAUUUGGUUUUGAAAUUUCUCUAAAUUUUUAUCGCUUAAAUUGCUAGGGACUAGUAAUAAGUUAGUUGGGGGGUGUGAUUAACACUAAAAAGUGUACGUGUAAUAAAGAUAAAAUUAUUAGUUUUACACUUAUUAUGUCGAUUAAUGCGCUCAUUAUUUUUAAAUUAUCCUAAUACUCCCCAAAUAUAUUUUUAUGUUAAAUUAAUUCGCAAUAUGUUAAUUUUUAUCUUGUAAAUAAUUUUUAGAAAUAAAGAUGGAAUUGAAAUUGAAAGCGGAAACAUAAAAGAACUAUUGGAGCACAAUUAAGGAGAUGUAAUAAAAAAAUAAAAAAAUAAAAAAAAGAACAAAAUGACAAAAGAGCAAAAGGCAACCAUGCUUUGGUUGCUUAUGAUGGUCAGGAGGCCAUCACACUUCUCAACAUUCAUUUAAUUUAUAAAAAAAAUAUAAUAAUAAUAUAAUAAUAAAUUAAAUAAGAAUAAAAAGAAUGAAGAGGUGGUGAUUGUUGCCUAUAAAAGCCGACGAAGCGAGGAAGGGAGGAAAGAGCCGAUUUUUUAGAGAGAAUAGCCAAGGGUGUAGCUGAAGAAUUUCUUUCUUUCUUUGUUUCUUUUCUUGUUUCCGUCUGUAUCAAUUUUCUUUAUAACAUACUUUCAAAAGUUUAUCAAAUAAAAAGAGUGUUGUGUUUUCUUUCAAUAUGAGUGACUAAUUUUGUUAAGUUGAGGUGAAGGGUGAAGCUCAAUGUUUCAAACUAUUACAUUUAUUAUUUUCUUAAAUGAGUUUUUAAGUUUAUUUUAUUUUUUUCUAGUUAUUUUUAUAUCAUGUUAAUUUAUAAAUCUCACUGAAUUUUAUGGUAUUUUGACAUAAUGUCGACACAUUAAUCGUGGCACAUUAGGUACUUUAUUUCAUAUUUAUCCACACACAUAGUUAGUUGAGAAUUAAAUGAUAUAAUAAUUAACUGGUAAAAGUGAGUCUAAAAAUGAGAGGGUAUUAAAAUUACAGUUUGCAUUCUGAGAAUGGAUCCCGUAGCCUUAGCUCAUUUUUAAAUCAAUUUCAAAUAAUUUCUUUGCCCCGCAAUUAAUUUUCUUUGUUUUAAAUUGCCUACUAGAUUUUAAAUUCCUUGUGGCUCGACCCCGGACUCACCAGGUUAUAUUAUAACUAGACACUCUUAUACUUGGGAGUAAUAACACUUUUGAGUUAUGUCACAAUCGAAACAAGAUCAUAAAAAAUAUUUCGAUGAAGAUACUACCCAUUUUGUGCGAGCAAAAAUUUCAGCAGAAUCUCCUCUUAAAAAUAAACAAAUCCUCAAAUACACAAAAUGAUUAAAAACACUUCCAUAUAAGCUUAAACAAUUAUAAAAAAUUAACAACUCCAUCAAUUCAUCAAGCAACGCACAUAUAAUUAUCAAUCAUCAAAAUCAUCAAGAAAUCAAAUCAUCCUAAGUUCGUGCUGAAUUUUUUAAAAAUAUUCUUCGCAAAGAGGUUUUGAUUUGUUUACCAAAUUGGCAUGCAAAAGCUAUAAGAACAUAUUAUCAACUAUCCGAGCUCCAUAAUUACUAAUCACAUUUUAGAAAUCAAGACAACUAAACUCAUCAAAGAUCUAAUGGGACAUUUCAAUAUCAACCAUCCGAGCUCCAUAAUUACUAAUCACAUUUUAGAAAUCAAGACAACUAAACUCAUCAAAGAUCUAAUGGGACAUUUCAAUAUCAACCAUCCGAGCUCCAUAAUUACUAAUCACACUACAGUUUGCAUUCUGAGAAUGGAUCCCGUAGCCUUAGCUCAUUUUUAAAUCAAUUUCAAAUAAUUUCUUUGCCCCGCAAUUAAUUUUCUUUGUUUUAAAUUGCCUACUAGAUUUUAAAUUCCUUGUGGCUCGACCCCGGACUCACCAGGUUAUAUUAUAACUAGACACUCUUAUACUUGGGAGUAAUAACACUUUUGAGUUAUGUCACAAUCGAAACAAGAUCAUAAAAAAUAUUUCGAUGAAGAUACUACCCAUUUUGUGCGAGCAAAAAUUUCAGCAGAAUCUCCUCUUAAAAAUAAACAAAUCCUCAAAUACACAAAAUGAUUAAAAACACUUCCAUAUAAGCUUAAACAAUUAUAAAAAAUUAACAACUCCAUCAAUUCAUCAAGCAACGCACAUAUAAUUAUCAAUCAUCAAAAUCAUCAAGAAAUCAAAUCAUCCUAAGUUCGUGCUGAAUUUUUUAAAAAUAUUCUUCGCAAAGAGGUUUUGAUUUGUUUACCAAAUUGGCAUGCAAAAGCUAUAAGAACAUAUUAUCAACUAUCCGAGCUCCAUAAUUACUAAUCACAUUUUAGAAAUCAAGACAACUAAACUCAUCAAAGAUCUAAUGGGACAUUUCAAUAUCAACCAUCCGAGCUCCAUAAUUACUAAUCACACUUUAGAAAUCAAGACAACUAAACUCAUCAAAGAUCUAAUGGGACAUUUCAAUAUCAACCAUCCGAGCUCCAUAAUUACUAAUCACACUUUAGAAAUCAAGACAACUAAACUCAUCAAAGAUCUAAUGGGACAUUUCAAUAUCAACCAUCCGAGCUCCAUAAUUACUAAUCACACUUUAGAAAUCAAGACAACUAAACUCAUCAAAGAUCUAAUGGGACAUUUCAAUAUCAACCAUCCGAGCUCCAUAAUUACUAAUCACACUUUAGAAAUCAAGACAACUAAACUCAUCAAAGAUCUAAUGGGACAUUUCAAUAUCAACCAUCCGAGCUCCAUAAUUACUAAUCACACUUUAGAAAUCAAGACAACUAAACUCAUCAAAGAUCUAAUGUGACAUUUCAAUAUAACUUAAAAAAUCUUAUAUGCUGAAAAUUCUUGAAGUAUAUGUAUUUUUCCCCCUUUCGAUAUCAUUUAAAACAAGUUGCACAUUCAACAAUACAUCGAUAAAGUACAAAAAAUGCAUCUAUUCGCCAAUCAUAGAUUGCAUAAGAUCAAACUUCAUCAAAUACAAUGUAAUCAUCAAAGCACAUUCUUUAUCAUCAAAACUUAAGUAAAGCAUAAGUACAUAAUGACAAUAUAUAGAUCAUCAAAAUAAACAUAGCUAUUAAGAAAAGCCAUCAUUAUGAGUAAAGAACAAGUGAUCAAAUCCAUUAUUACAAAUGCUCACAUAGGCCAAUUUAAUGAAUGAUGAUAUAAUACAAUAAAUGACAUAUGAAUUCACACAUACAUAAGUGAUGAACAAAUAAGGAAGAUGAAUAAAUAACAUUAAACAUGAUGAUAGACAAUUUAAAAGAUGAAACCAAGGAUCAUACAAUCAUCAAAAUCAAACAAAGGCAUCAUGAUAAGUUGGCAAGCUACCAUCAUGUAUAUCUAUCCAUGCAUCAUAAUUACACAGAAUAAUAAUUCUGUUAUGCAAACGUAUGGGCAUGCUUUUGCAAAUUCAAGCUAUUAUCCAUCCAUCAUGAUCCAUUCAAUAAAAUCAAUAUGGUAAGAAUUAUUACCAAAACAAUUAAAUCAUCUUACUAAUCAUUUUCUCUUAGAUCAUGAUCUAAUGAUUAUUCUCACAAGCUUUCAUCAAGAAAUUCUCUAUCAUUUCUUGAUUAUGGUACCUACAAAAAAACAAAUAUUCAAGUUGUGCUUUUUGGUACCCAAAUACUCUUGGGUCCUUGAGUUUUAGAUUUGGUUCCUUUUGGAACCCAAAUACAUUUGACUCUAUAAUAUACAUUUCUCUUAACUGGACAUCUAAAACUUAUAUGACCAUUUUGAUUGCAAUAAUGACAUACAAUUUGAUCAUUAAUGGAGGUACUCUUCAUAAAAUAGUUCUUAUAAUACUUUUGUUUCAAAUUAGGCUUAUAGCCAAUACUUCCUUUGUCAAACACAUAUUUUUGUAAAUUAAGCAAGUUAUCUAACAUCUUUUGCCCAUUUGUAAAUUUUAAGACAAUCUCAUUUAACUCAUUGCUCUUCUUCUUAAGCACUUCAUUUUCUUUCAUUAAUUCAUCAACAUGUGAUUUCUCGUGCUCAUAUGAAGUACUUUAUUUAUAUUUAAAUGAUGCAAUCCUAACAUGUAACAUUUCAUUAUCUAAUCUAAUUCUUUGAUCUUUUCAUUUAAUGAAACAUUGCAUUUUUACAGGGCGUCUUUUUCAUUUUUCAAGUCAUCUACAUGUGAUUCUAGAUGCUUGUACGAAGUGCUAGGUUUCUCAUUUGAUAAUGCAACUCUAUCAUGCAAUGUUUUAUUUUCUAAUUCUAGGCAUGUAAUCUUUGCACUUAUAGAUUCAUUUUCAUUUGUGAGCUUUAUCAUUUUCUUUUUAAGACAUACAUUCUUUUUACCAAUUUCUAUCAAAUUAUCAUGCAAUUCCUUAAAAGCAUCAUAUAAUUCAUCAUAGGUAGGAUCACCUAUUUCAUCGAGUUCGUCAUCUCCUAUUACUAUAAGUGUUGGGUUUGACACUUCUUGCGAAUCUUCUUCAUCACUCGAUUCUUCAUCGAUAUCGUCCCAAGUAGCCACUAUGACUUUCUUAUUGAGUUUGUUGAGAAGUGGACACUCCGAUCUUAUAUGACCAUGCUUUUUUGCAUUCAAAACAAACAAUUGCCUCAUUCUUCCCUUUCUCCACCUUAAGGUUUUCUCUCAUGAGAUCUUUAAAGUUUCUUCUCUUGAUUUGCUUCUUAAAGAUCCUUCUAAACUUUCUAGCAAUCAUCUCAAUGACCUUCAUCUUCAAAGUCACUUCCAUCAUCAUCACUUUCAAUUAUAGAAGAUUUAAAAGCAAAGCUCUUCUUCUUUUUAUCUUCAUCAAUUCUUUCAUUAGCUAUAUCUUCUUCAUAUGAAAUAAGUGAACUAAUAAGAUCAUCAAGUGAUAAAGUAUUAAGAUUUUUUGCUUCUUCUAUGGUCGUUCUCUUUUGUUAUAGGCAUGCAUGGUCCAUCACAAAUAACUUCUCAAAUUUCGUAAUUUAAGGCUUACAAAUAAAUUCUUAUCCUAGGUUUCCAAUAUGGGUAGUAAUUACCAUCAAAGAACAGUAGUCUAGUUGUGGAUUGUCUUUCUCUAAAAGUUGAGUCAUUUUGGGUUGCCAUGAAUCUUUUACUCUAGACGGUUAAAUCUACACAAGAGCACCUUGCUCUGAUACCAAAUGAAGUACUAUUUAAGCAACCCAAGAGGGGGGUGAAUUGGAAUUUUAAAACUUAAGCUAAACAAAACACAUAACAAUUCAAUCUAUUCCCUUAAUGAAAUAAAAAUAAUAAUAAAUUUAAUAAAGCAUAAUAAUAAAAGAUAAUGGAAGAGAGAACAAACACAAUUAGUUUUACGUAGUUCGGCAAUCCUCGCCUACGUCCAUGCCUCCAAGCUCACCAAGCUUAAGGAUUUCACUUAGCAAGCCUCUAAGGUUUCAAAUGGUUACAAUUGACUUCCAAGGUAUCAAUGGACCUUCACAACAAGAGAUUAUCCCCAAUAUCUUAACCUAAGUGUAUCCCAACACUUACAAUCUCUUAACUUGAUUUUACAAAAAAGAUUAUAAAUGAAUUUCUCUCACACAAUGUGUUUGAUCAUAAAUGAAAGCUCAAUGUGUGAAUGAAUGAGAUGAAUAUAAGGAUUUGAAAGUUGUCUGCUCAAUAUUUUGCUCAAUGAUAAUUGUUGGAAUUGUUGAAGUUUGAAUUUGAUUGAGCUUAUUUAUAGUUGAAGCUAAAAACUAGCCGUUAUUGACUUUCUGCUCACUGUCGGAUCGCCAUUAACUAGAUGUCAUAUCGUCGUUUUAACUGGUCAAUAUAACCGUUGAGCUGAAUUUUCAAAUUGUUGGAUCACCGUUUUCAAGAUGUCGGAUCGUCGUUAGUGUCCAGAGGCUAAGCUUCAAUUCUGUUUGAUGUCGGCUAACCGUGAUCAAGAUAUCGGUUAGCCUUUUGCUACAGUGACUGCUAUAGUGAACUAUUUUCUAAAAUUUAUAGUUUAGCCCCAAAACUUUAUAAAAUUAUAUUAUGGCCCAAAACUAUUUGAAACGUUUCACAUAAGACCUUCUCUAGAAUUCCAAGCAAUACUUGUUGAUUUCAAAGUUCUCAAAACUCUUUUAAUUACACCAUAAACUUGAAAAAAAAUAAAUUUCAUAAAAUUAUUUUUUCAUUAAAUAUAAAACAUUUAUAAUGUGAAAACAAUAAUUUAUUUAAAAUGUAUAAAAAAUAAUUUGAGCUUUUAAAAACUUAAUCAUUCUUAAUUUUGUUUGCUAUCAUCAAAAUCAACAUUAUGGAUACAUAAAUGUUAACAUAUUCUUCAAUCUCUAUUGUCUCUAUUAUAAGGGCCCAUUAAUGAUGAGAUCAACCCUACAUGGCGGUGAAGGGACUCGGCAAUCUCUAUUAUAAGGGCUCAUGCAUUAUAGAAUCAACCUUACACAGCAAUGAAGGGACCUGGCAAUAUCUAUUAUAAGAGCCUAUGCAUGACCUAACCCAGCAUAGCAGUGAAGAAACCCGACAAUCUCUAUUAUAAGGCCCAUUCAUGAUUUGAUCGACUCCACAUGGCGUCCAAAGUACCCUAUAAUCUCUACAUUACGGGGCUACACAUUAUGAGAGCAACCCCACAUGGCAUUCAAGGGACUCCACGAUCUCCGAUAUCUUCAUGGUAAAGACCCACGCUUAAUGAGGAUAGCCCAUUGGCCAUGAAGGGACCUAGUGAUCUUUAGUAUAAGGCCCAUGCCUAGUGAGAUCAACCCCAUAUGGCGAUGAAUGAACCCAGUGAUCUCUAGUAUAUAGGUCCACACAUGGUUAGAUCAACCCCAUAUAACGAUAAAGGAGCCUAGUACUUUCCUAUAUAAGGGCCCAUGCAUGGUGAAAUCAACCCCACAUGGCAUUUAGGAGACCCCACAAUCUCCAACGUCUCCAUCAUAUAAAGGGUCUGAAAUACUAACUAGGCAACCCAAGAAGAGGGUGAAUUGAGAUUUUAAAUUUUAAACUAAGCAAAUCACAAAACAAUUUAAUUUAAUGCCUUAAUGGAAUAAAAAAAUAAUAAAUUCAACAAAGCACAAUAAUAAGAUAGUAAGGGAAGAGCAAACAAACACAAUGAUUUUUACAUGGUUCGGCAAUCUCUGCCUAUGUCCACGCCUCCAAGCUUACCCAGCUUGAGAAUUUCACUAUCCAAGCCUCCCAAGGCUUCAAGUUCUUUACAAUUGACUUCUAAGGCGUCAAUGAACCUUUACAAUCAAGAGAUUAUCUCUACAAUCUCUUCACCCCAAGUGUUUCUCAUACUUGUACACUUAUAAUUUAAUAAGAAAUGAAAAUUACAACAAACAACUCUCUUUUAGAGUGGAUAUACAAAUGAUAGCCCAAUAAAGAUUUAAUCUAUCAUGAUUUGCAAAAUUGAAGCUCAAUAUAUGUUGUGUGCACUUGUUUAUGCUUGCAAAGAUUACCAAAGAUGAAUUGGAUUUAAGUUUAUAUAGUUUAAGCUCAAAAACUAGCCUUUAUAGACUUUUUGGUGAUAACCAGCUUGCUGCUUUGUGAAUUCGGUUAACCGCUUUUAUGUUACUGUUAUAGCAAAUAUUUGAAUUUUGAAACAUCUGGCAUGCCGCUUUCGGAAUCCGGUUAGCCGCUUUCAUUCCAAUAAGCUACUGCCUAAAAUCCAAUCUACUGCUUGUCAAAUUCGGUUAGCUGCUUGCAACAGUGACUACUACAGUGAAUUAUUUUUCAAAAUUAUAGUUUUGAUCCAAAACUUUAUAGAAUUAUGCUAUGGCCCAAAAGUCAUAAAAUCUUGCACAAAGGUCCAAUUUCAUAAUUUCUAAAUAAUGCUUGUUAUUUCUGAAACUUUAUGAAAUUAUGAUAUCUCUCAAAAUGCUAUGAAAAUUUUAAAAUAAGUCCUCCUCCAAAAUUCCAAGCAAUACUUGUUGAUUUCAAAAUUUUCAAAACUCUUUCAAUUAGACCAUAAACUUGAAAAACAACCAAUUUUAUAAAAUCAUUUUUCCAUUAAAUACAAAACCUUUAUAAUGUGAAAAUAAUGAUUUAUUUAAAAUGUAUAAAAAAUAAUUUGAUCUUUUAAAAACUUAAUCAUUCUUAAUUUUAUUUGUUAUCAUCAAAAUCAACAUCAUGGAUAUAUAAAUGUUAACAGGGCCUACGCUGUUAACAUAUAUGUUUCCAUAAUGUUGAUUUUGAUGAUAACAAACAAGAUUAACAAAAAAAAUAUUUUAAAUAAAUCAUUUUUUUUCACAUUAUAAAUGUUUUAUAUUUUAAUGGAAAAAUGAUUUUAUGCAAUUGAUUGUUUUUAUUCCUUUUGAAUAAAUCAUUAUUUUCACUUUAUAAAUGUUUCAUAUUUAAUGGAAAAAUGAUUUUAUGAAAUUGGUUGUUUUUCAAAGUUUAUGGUUUAAUUGAAAGAAUUUUGAAAACUUUGAAAUAAACAAGUAGUGCUUAAAAUUUCGGAUUUGAAAUUGUGCUAAAAUUCACAAAUGGGCAAAACUGCUGUACGGCCAAGGCGGAUGUACGGUACAGCAGUAUGGGAUUAAAGCAUUUUGGACUAAAAUGAAAGUAAUUUUAAAAUCUUUGAUAGUAUUUUAAAUUUCGGAUUUGGACCUAUUUGAAACUAUUUAAAUAUUUUUGGAUCAUUCUAUAAUUUCACAUAGUUUGGGCAAAGUCAUAAUUUCAGAAAGUUGUGGGAUUGAGAAAGCAUUAUUUAAAAUUCUAAAAUUGGACCUAUUUGCAAACUUUUAUAACCUUUUGGACCAUACUACAGUUUUAUAAAGUUUUGGGGUCAAACUGUAAAUAUCAGGAAAUGUUUUACUGUAGCAGUUACUGUAGCAAGCGGCUUACCGGAUACUGAUAAACGGCAGGCCGAAUUCGGGCAGUAAACACCAGAACGAAAACGGCUUACCGGAUUCCGAAUCCGGCAAGCCGGUUAGGCAAAAUUUUGAAUUUUGCCUUAACGGUAACAUAAAUCCGGCUUACCGGAUUCCAUUAAACGGCAAACCGGAUACGCCUGGAAUGUGAGUAACGGCUAGUUUUUGAGCUCAAGCUAUAAAAACUCAAAUCCAACUCAUUUUGAAGCUCUCCAACAAGCAAAAACAAAAGGCACACAUGAUAUCUUGAGCUUACAACUUGCAAAACACAAAACAUUGAAUCAUUCAUUGUUCUUCAUCUUUGAAUAUCUACUCAUUGAGUGAGUUUGAUUGUAACUUUCAUUUCUUCAUUUCAUUUGUAAGAGUUUGAGUGUGUGAGACACUUGAGUGAAGAGAUUGGGAGAUAAUCUCUUUGUUGUAAAGGUUUAUUGACACCUCGAAGUCAAUUGUAAUUGUUAAAGCCUUGGAAAGGCUUGGAUAGUGAAAUCCUCAAGCCCGGUGUGCUUGGAGGCGUGGACGUAGGCGGGGAUAGCCGAACCACGUAAAAAUCAUUGUGUUCGUUUUUCUCUUCCCUUACUCUUUUAAUUAUUGUGCCUUUAUUGAACUUAUUGCUUUCAAUUUUUAUUAAAACAUUAGAUUGCUUGUUGUGUGGAUUUGCUAGGAUAAUUUUUAAAUUUCCAAUUCACCCUCCCUCUUGGGUUGCACACUUAUAUUUCAUUUGGUAUCAGAGCGAGGUGCUCUUGUGUAGACUUAACCGUCUAGAGUUAAAGAUCCAUAGCAACCCAAAUUAGCUCAACCAUCAUGGAAGGCCAAUCUAUCACUAGACCUCCGUUUUUCGACGGAAAUGAUUAUCCUUAUUGGAAAACUAGGAUGAGAGUAUUUUUACAAGCCUUAGAUUAUGAACUAUGGGAAAUAGUUUGUGAUGGUUCAUUCAUUCUUAGGAAGAAUGCUUUAAGUGAGUUGGAUAAGAAAAAUAUGUCUUUAAAUUCCAAGGCCAUGAAUGCUUUAUUUUGUGCCUUAGAUAAAAAGGAAUUUCAUAGAAUUUCUAAUUGUUCUAAUGCUUAUGAAAUUUGGAGAAAGCUUGAAAUUGUGUAUGAGGAGACUACGAGCGAGGAGGAAUUUCAUGAAGUGUCGAAUUUGGCACUUAUGGCAAUUGGAGAUGAAUCGGAUGAUGAUCUUGAUGAGGUAAAUGAUCUUUUUACUUAUGAUGAAUUAUAUGAUGCUUUUAAAGAAUUGCAUGAUAAUUGGAUAAAAAUUGGUAAAAAGAAUGCAUGUCUUAAAAAGAAAAUGGUAGAGCUCAAAAAUGAAAAUGAAUCUCUAUGUGCAAAGAUUACAUGCCUAGAAUUAGAGAAUAAAACAUUGCAUGAUAAAGUUGCAUUAUCAAAUGAGAAACUUAGCACUUCACAUGAGCAUCUAGAAUCACAUGUAGAUAACUUGAAAAAUGAAAAGGAUGCUUUACAAAAAUGCAAUGAUUCAUUAAAUGAAAAGAUUAAAGGACUAGAGUUAGAUAAUAAAAUGUUGCAUGAUAGAAUUGCAUCAUUUAAAGGUAAACAAAGUAUUUCAUAUGAGCAUGAAAAAUCACAUGUUGAUGAGUUGAUGAAAGAAAAUGAAGUGCUUAAGAGAAAGAGUAAUGAGCUCAAUGAAAUUGUUUUGAAAUUCACAAAUGGGCAAAAGAUGUUGGAUAACAUGCUUAAUUCACAAAAAUGUGUGUUUGAUAAAGGAGGAAUUGGUUAUAAGCCAAAUUUGAAACAAAAGUAUUAUAAGAACUACUUUGUGAAGAGUACAUCUAUUAACAAUCAAGUUGUAUGUCAUUAUUGUAAUCAAAACGGUCACAUGAAGUUUGGUUGUCCUAUUAAAAGAAAAGUAUAUUGUGGAGUAAAAUGUGUUUGGGUUCCAAAAGGAACAAUUGCUAACACUCAAGGACCCAAUAGUAUUUGGGUACCAAAGGGCACAGCGUGAAUGUUUUCUUUGUAGGUACCACAAUCAAGGAAUGGUGGAGAAGUUCCUUGAUGAAAGCUUGUGAGGAUAAUCAUUUGAGCAUGAUCUAGGAGAAAAAGAUGAGGCAAGAUAAUUUAAUUGUUUUGGUAACAAUUCUUGCCAUAUUAAUUUUGUUGAAUGAAUCAUGAUAAAUGAAAUUGCGAAAGUAUGCUUGUAUGUUUACAUGAUGGAAUUAUCAUUGUGUGUAAUAUUGAGUGAUUUAUCAUGAUGGAUUUGUUUGAUGUUAAUGUUUAUGAAGUGUUUAAGCAUGAUAGUUAAGUGGUGUGUUUAAUUUAUUCACUUUUGAAUGUUUAUAUGUUUAAUUAUUGUGAAAAUCUCUAGUCUGCACAAGUUGUAAUGAAUUAGUCAUAACUCCUUCUAGAGAACUCAAAAUCCAGCUCUGUAAAAUUUAUUGGAAAGCUAACUUAAUUAUCUUUCCAACGGUAUAUAGCUUGCAUGUUACUUUCUGCCUCAAAUCGGACUACCGGUUAGCAAAACCGGAAAGCCGGAUUUGCAAGGAACGCUUGCUGGACCAAACCGGAUUUCCGGUUCUGUCAAUUCGGAAUUCCGAAUUCGAGCUGCAUUUUGGCAAAUCGGCAAGCCGAUUCUCUCUUGCUAUCUUCUGGAUCCAACCGGCAAGCCGGUUCGUGUUAUCCGGAAAACCGGAUUUGCGUGAAACAUUUGCUAGAACCAACCGGAUUUCCGGUUAAGCUCAUUUGGCAAUCCGGUUUCGGGUGCUAUUUCAACUAUUCAUCUUCUCCCUCUCUUUCGGCUUUCCGUUUCUCUCUUUCUCACUAAAAGCCGAUUACUCCUCACUUGAUUUCAUUCCAAAAUCCAUCAUUCUCAUUCGUUUUCAAUCCAAAUUGAUUCAUAUAAAUUAUUCUCAUCCAUUCUUGUGUCUAAAAUCAUCUCUAAAAUCGUUUUAAUUGAUUCAAACUUACACUUUUUACUCAAUAUCUUAAAAAAUUUGAAUUUGUGCAUUUUGAAUAUUUCAAAUUACCACUUCCAUAGUGUGCUCUCCUUAUGGAUUUUACCAUAGUUUUCUAUUAUAUUAUGCACCUACAUUUUCAUAUGCAUUGUUGCUUUCAUUGUGGAUUGAUGAUGAUUAUUGUUUGAUAUUUGGAUGCAAAUGUUUUAUUUUGAGCACAAAAAAUAAUCUUGGCAAAUUUGAUCCAAAAUUUGAUGUUGGUAUUUCUCUUGGCUAUUCAAACACAAGCAAAACUUAUGGAGUGUAUAUCAAAAGAACUUUGAUUGUGGAAGAAUUUAUACAUGUUAUAUUUGAUGAGUCUAAUUCUUCCUCUAUGGAGAAAGUUGUUGUUGAUGAUAAUGUAGAUGAAAAGCUACAAGAAGAUUAUCAAAUGAUAGCCAAAAGAAUGCACCACUUGAAAAUCAAGAGGAGCAACAUGAAGAAACAAAUGCGGAGUAAAAUGAAAGUGCUUCUCAAACACUCCCUAAAGAGUGGAGGUAUGUUUCUUCUCACCUUAAGAACUUAAUUUUGAGAGAUCCAUCACAAGGUGUAACUACUAUAUCAUCUCUUAAAAAUAUAUAUGAGCAUUUGUAAUAAUGGAUUUGAUCACUUGUUCUUUAACUCAUCAUUAUGGCUUUUCUUAAUAGUCAUGUUGAUUUUGAUGAUCUAUAUAUUGGCAUAUGUUGAUUUUGAUGAUUUAUAUAUUGCCAUUAUGUACUUAUGUUUUUACUUAAGUUUUGAUGAUAAAGAAUGUGCAUUGAUGAGUACAUUAUAUUUGAUGAAGCUUGAUCUUAUGCAAUCUAUGAUUAGUGAAUGAAUGCAUUUUUUGUACUUUAUCGAUGUAUUAUUGAAUAUGUCUUACUUAUUUUAAAUGAUAUCGAAAAAGGGGGAGAAUGAUUUAAUUUGUGUUAUGAAAAUAUAUGCAUGUAUCUAGGGGGAGCAUGUAUGCAGGGGGAGUUUUUAUUAAACUAUUUACAAGAAGAUUAUCAAAUGAUAGCCAAAAGAAUGCACUACUUGAAAAUCAAAAGGAGCAACAUGAAGAAACAAAUGCGGAGUAAGAUGAAGGUACUUCUCAAANNNNNNNNNNNNNNNNNNNNNNNNNNNNNNNNNNNNNNNNNNNNNNNNNNNNNNNNNNNNNNNNNNNNNNNNNNNNNNNNNNNNNNNNNNNNNNNNNNNNNNNNNNNNNNNNNNNNNNNNNNNNNNNNNNNNNNNNNNNNNNNNNNNNNNNNNNNNNNNNNNNNNNNNNNNNNNNNNNNNNNNNNNNNNNNNNNNNNNNNNNNNNNNNNNNNNNNNNNNNNNNNNNNNNNNNNNNNNNNNNNNNNNNNNNNNNNNNNNNNNNNNNNNNNNNNNNNNNNNNNNNNNNNNNNNNNNNNNNNNNNNNNNNNNNNNNNNNNNNNNNNNNNNNNNNNNNNNNNNNNNNNNNNNNNNNNNNNNNNNNNNNNNNNNNNNNNNNNNNNNNNNNNNNNNNNNNNNNNNNNNNNNNNNNNNNNNNNNNNNNNNNNNNNNNNNNNNNNNNNNNNNNNNNNNNNNNNNNNNNNNNNNNNNNNNNNNNNNNNNNNNNNNNNNNNNNNNNNNNNNNNNNNNNNNNNNNNNNNNNNNNNNNNNNNNNNNNNNNNNNNNNNNNNNNNNNNNNNNNNNNNNNNNNNNNNNNNNNNNNNNNNNNNNNNNNNNNNNNNNNNNNNNNNNNNNNNNNNNNNNNNNNNNNNNNNNNNNNNNNNNNNNNNNNNNNNNNNNNNNNNNNNNNNNNNNNNNNNNNNNNNNNNNNNNNNNNNNNNNNNNNNNNNNNNNNNNNNNNNNNNNNNNNNNNNNNNNNNNNNNNNNNNNNNNNNNNNNNNNNNNNNNNNNNNNNNNNNNNNNNNNNNNNNNNNNNNNNNNNNNNNNNNNNNNNNNNNNNNNNNNNNNNNNNNNNNAUUGUUUAAAUACAUGAAAUGUUUGUCAUCAUCAAAAAGGGGGAGAUUGUUAACAUAUAUGUUUCCAUAAUGUUGAUUUUGAUGAUAACAAACAAGAUUAACAAAAAAAAUAUAUUUUAAAUAAAUCGUUUUUUUUUCACAUUAUAAAUGUUUUAUAUUUUAAUGGAAAAAUGAUUUUAUGCAAUUGAUUGUUUUUAUUCCUUUUGAAUAAAUCAUUAUUUUCACUUUAUAAAUGUUUCAUAUUUAAUGGAAAAAUGAUUUUAUGAAAUUGGUUGUUUUUCAAAGUUUAUGGUUUAAUUGAAAGAAUUUUGAAAACUUUGAAAUAAACAAGUAGUGCUUGAAAUUUCGGAUUUGGACCUAUUUGAAACUAUUUAAAUAUUUUUGGGCCAUUCUAUAAUUUCAUAAAGUUUGGGCGAAGUCAUAAUUUCAGAAAGUUGUGGGAUUGAGAAAGCAUUAUUUAAAAUUCUGAAAUUGGACCUAUUUGAAANNNNNNNNNNNNNNNNNNNNNNNNNNNNNNNNNNNNNNNNNNNNNNNNNNNNNNNNNNNNNNNNNNNNNNNNNNNNNNNNNNNNNNNNNNNNNNNNNNNNNNNNNNNNNNNNNNNNNNNNNNNNNNNNNNNNNNNNNNNNNNNNNNNNNNNNNNNNNNNNNNNNNGUUACUGUAGCAAGCGGCUUACCGGAUACUGAUAAACGGCAGGCCGAAUUCGGGCAGUAAACACCAGAACGAAAACGGCUUACCGGAUUUCGAAUCCGGCAAGCCGGUUAGGCAAAAUUUUAAAUUUUGCCUUAACGGUAACAUAAAUCCGGCUUACCGGAUUCCAUUAAACGGCAAACCGGAUACGCCUGGAAUGUGAGUAACGGCUAGUUUUCGAGCUCAAGUUAUAAGAACUCAAAUCCAACUCAUUUUGACUCUCUCCAACAAGCAAAAACAAAAAGCACACGUGAUAUCUUGAGCUUAUAACUUGGCAAACGCAAAUCAUUGAAUCAUUCAUUGUUUUUCAUCUUUGAAUAUCUACUCAUUGAGUGAGUUUGAUUGUAACUUUCAUUUCUUCAUUUCAUUUGUAAGAGUUUGAGUGUGUGAGACACUUGAGUGAAGAGAUUGGGAGAUAAUCUCUUUGUUGUAAAGGUUUAUUGACACCUCGAAGUCAAUUGUAAUUGUUAAAGCCUUGGAAAGGCUUGGAUAGUGAAAUCCUCAAGCCCGGUGUGCUUGGAGGCGUGGACGUAGGCGGGGAUAGCCGAACCACGUAAAAAUCAUUGUGUUCGUUUUUCUCUUCCCUUACUCUUUUAAUUAUUGUGCCUUUAUUGAACUUAUUGCUUUCAAUUUUUAUUAAGACAUUAGAUUGCUUGUUGUGUGGAUUUGCUAGGAUAAUUUUUAAAUUUCCAAUUCACCCUCCCUCUUGGGUUGCACACUUAUAUUUCAUACGCAUGAUGGGUGCUCCUAACAUGUCAUUUAAAGAUCCCCAUACUCUUCAACAAAGCAACUCAGAUCCUACGCACGGGGGACGCCCUGCAUGACGAUGAGUUAAUCCCGCAAGAUCUCUAGGAACCAUGCAUGCUUGGGAUUAAAAUAAAUGUCCUAACCGUUGCGAAGAGCGUUAGGCAGGAUACAUGAAAUAUAUGCCCCGAGUGCAGCGAAGAGCCCCAAGCGCAUGCCUUGACUGCAGCAAAGAGUCUUCGGCGUAGUAAAUGAAAUAAAUACUGUGAGUGUGGCGAAAAGCCCCAAGUGUAACACAUGAAAUAAAUGCCCCGAGUGUGGCAAAGAGCCCCAGGUGCGACACAUUAAAAUAAAUGCCCUAAGCGCAGCGAAGAGCUUCAGGUGCGACAUAUGAAAUAAAUGCUCCUAGCGCGUUGAAGAGCCCCGGGUAUAACACAUGAAAUAAAUGCCCUGAGCGUGCCGAAGAGCCCCUGGUGUGAUAAAUAAAAUAUAUGUCUCAGAGUGCAGUGAAGAGUCCUGACACGACUCAAAAGUGUAUUACUCCUAAGUAUAAGAGUGUCUAGUUAUAAUAUAACCCAGUAAGUUCGGGGUUGAACCACAGGGAAUUUUAAAUCCAGUAGUCAAUUUAAAAAUAUGCUAAGGUUCGAGAUCCACUCUCUGUAUUCAAACUAUAAUUUUAAUACUCUCUCAUUUAUAUUUUGCCCUCACUUUUACCAAUUAAUUAUUAUAUCAUUUAAUUCUCAACUAACUAUGCGUGUGGAUAAAUAUGGAAUAAAGUACCUAAAGUGCCACACUAUAUUAAUGUAUCGACAUUAUGUCAAAAUACCAUACAGAUCCAAAGAAAUUUAUAAAUUAACAUGACAUAAAAAUAACUAGAAAAGAAUAAAAUAAACUUAAAAAUUCAUUUGAGAAAAUAAUAAAUUUAAUAGUUUGAAACAUUAAGCUUCACGUUUCACCUCAACUUAGUAAAAUUAGCCACUCAUAUUGAAAGAAAACAUAACACUCUUUUUAUUUCAUAAACUUUUGAAAUAUGUUACAAGGAAAAUUGAUACAAAAGGAAACAAGAAAAGAAAAUAAAGAAAGACAGAAAUUCUUCAGUUCCCUUUUGGCUACAACUCUCUCUCUCUCUGCUUAAGCUUCUCUACUAGCCUCCUCAUUCGCUUGCAUCCCUUUGCCUUUUAUAGGCAAGGGAAUCAUCUUCUUUUCUUUUAUUUUAUUAAUAAUAUUAAUAUUUUUUUUUAUAUUAUAUAUACAUAUUGAAUUGUGUGAUGGUCAUUUUUAAAAUAAUAUCUCCUCGAUUGAUGAAUUUCAAAUUGCUCCAGGUGUCCUUCUUUGUUCCAAGUUUCAACUCCAAUCCCAUCUUUAUUCCUGAAAAAUAUUUACAAGAUAAAAAUUAACAGAUUGUGAAUUAAUUUAACAUAAAAUAUAUUUGGGGAGUAUUAAAAUAAUUUAGAAAUAAUGAAUGCAUUAAUUGACACAAUAAGUGAAAAACUAAUAAUUUUAUCCUUAUUAGAUGUACACUUUUUAAUGUCAAUCAAGUCCCAAGCGUGACAUAUAAAAUAAAAGGUUCGAGUGCUGCAAAGAGUCCUGAGCUCGAUAAAUAACAUAAGAGCCUCAAGCGCAGCAAAGAGCCCUGAGUGUGGCAAAUAAUGCAAGCCCCUAAGCAUGCAAAUAAAGUAAAGGUCUUAGGUGCAAUAAUAGAAUGCAGAGUUAGCUCUCUUAACUUUAAGGGUGCCACCCAAGAGCUACUAAUUGUGGCCUUUUUCUCCAAUCUCAUGGCUCUCAACGCCAGCAUCCUUACUCAUAGUAAAGUUUCUCGUGCCAGCAUCUCCUGUAUCCAAUUGAUUAGUAGGAGUCACACUGAUGUAGCAGAAGUUUAAUGUUCAAAUAUUUGCAUUGAUUCUUGAGAGUACUGGAAUAAAAAGAACAAUCUUAAUUCAUGUUGAUUUAAAAAGAAUAUUUUGGACUUAGGGGGCUAAAACUCAUCGAUUCCGCAGAAUGCCAAAAAUUAACUAAACUCAAAAGUUCACAAAAAGUCUUGAAAAUUGAUAAUAUUAUUGAACUCAAAUCUCCUUCAAGGGCUACAAGAGAUGAUUUUUAUAUUAGUAGUAAUUAUCCUAAACCAUGAAUUAAAAUGAAAAAAAAAGUUCUAAACUAGAAAGGAAAACAAAGUCUAAAUUUUAGAUAAUAAGAAAAUUAAUUCAAAUAUGAUAAGAAAUCAUAAUCUGCAUCACAUACUUGUAUCACGAUAAGUAUCGGCACAUCCAGGACCAUCCCCUUGGAACUAUAUUGGGAAGAUCCCUCAUUUUUCAUGUAGAUGAUUCGGGGACUCUCCCCAUAUCAUGCACGAAGUGUUCCUAUCACUUGAGCAUAAGACAAAAAUUCGAACCACUUUGAGAUAGUCCACCCCGAUGCAUAACGAUAGUUUAAUGCCAUACACUAAGUCUGCUGCUUCGAAUCAAGUGCUUUCUCUUCAGCCUACUCCUUAGCUCUCUUCUCUCAACCGCAACCAAAAUUCAACAGCUUCUUAAAGGAGCUCCUCUCCUCACGGGACCUCUAUUUAAGAUCUACCACCUCUUUGUGGAGCUUCCUUACUAUUUAAUGUUGGAGAAUAAAUAUUUACAAAGGGUAAAAUCAUCGUUUGGCAUUCUAAGCCUCGCUAACAUUUCUACUUUUAUGUAUUUAAGUCUUUCAAACUUUGAUUGUGUGUGUUUUGUUAUAAUUUGAGUAUUUUAUGCAUUUCAUAGGUAUUUUGGUCUUUUUAAAAUUAACAAGAAAUCGAACAGCAAAAUAGAUUGCAUUUUUAGCUCAAAACAACUGAAAACCUUAGGAAUGGCAUAAAGGGCAAAAUUAUAAAUUUUAGGAUUUUUGUGGGACGUUGACUAGUUGAGGUGGCAUUGACCAGCUGAGAGGAAUGGACCAGCUGAUGUGACAUUGACUUAUUAUGUGGCAGCAUACUAUUGAAAUGAAAAAUGUUGAUGUGGCAUUGAUCGAUAAAGUGGCAUUAACCUAUGACGUGGCAGUAUCCUAUUGGACCGAAAGAUAUUGAUGUGGCGUUGACGGAUGAUGUGGUACCAUAUUACUGGACCUAAUGAUGUGUUUUAACUAAUUAGAUAUUGCCAUGUGGCAUAAUCCUGAGCGUCCAAAUUGUUUUCAUUUGAUGAUUGUAAUUUACUCAUUGUAUCUAUAAAUAAGGGUUUCUCCUGAUUUAAUAGCUCUGAAAGCUUCAUUUUUUUGUAAUUCUCACUCUAUCUUAUAUUUUCUAUGUAUUUCAAUACAAUUAACAUUUUACCCCUAGUUCAAUUAUGAGUGACUAAUUUAAUUUCUAGUUUGAGUUGAAGGUGAAGCCUCCAUAAGAUCCAUGGGCUUAAUUUGGUAAGUUUAUUUUUUUCUCUCUAAUUUAAGUGGUUUUUUUACUCAUUAUCAACAGAUAGUGUAUCUUGUUUUAUUUUGUACGAUAUACAGCUCCCUAGUAAAAGAUCGUUAUUGUUUAGCACAAUGAGCAUUUUACACCAUAUUUAUUGGAAAGAGGCUCUUCUCUAGUGUUUAUGGGUCGUCUGACUUAGUGUUGAUAAAGAGUGCAUUUAAGUUAUUUAGUAGGCGGUCUUGCCACAUUGUUGAUAGAAUGAUUAUUAUCAUCUAACAUAGAGGUGGGCAUUUGGUUUGGUUUUUAACGAACCGAACCGAAUUGAUAUUUUUCGAUUCGGUUCGAUUUGAUUCUAAAGAUAAAAUCCGAAUGAUUUGGAAAUUAAAGAACCGAUUGGUUUGUAUUCGGUUCUUUCUUUAAAAAUAAAAAAUAUUUUAAUAUUCAUAUAUAUAGGUAAAGUGAACAGAAACCUAAAUCCCACACACUCAUCUCUCAAACACAGCAGUAACACACCAUCCCUCACACUCCCACAUUCUGAUAAGCACAUCAUAUUUCUACCACCAGUAACCGCUCCUCUCUGACACCAUACAUGCAGCUGGCAACUACUCUUUUUGCACCACACAACCAUCAUCAACUUUUAGCACAACCACCUAUCAGCCACCGGCCGUUUGUCACAACCCCACAACAGCCGUCCUUCAGCUGCAAUCAUCGCAGGCCGUCGACCACCACACAAAGAUUCAUAGUUUCUUCUUAUUUCUCUCAUAACAAAUAUUAUAGAUCUAGAUCUAUUUCUUUGUCUAAGUGCAGUAACAAUAUUAAAUUUUGAUUUUUUCCAGCUUUGUUUUAGGUAUUUGUAACUGUUGCGGACUUUCUAGCUUUUAAUGUAUUGUAUUUGUUGCUGUUGCCGAUUGGUAGCUUUGACACCCAUGUGUUGGCCUCGUUUGGUUGUUGGAAAAAUUGUGAUUUUGAAGGCCUUGUUUGGUUAUUAAAAAUGUUGAUAUUGAAACCCUAUGUACAGGCCUUGUUUGUGUUGUGGGAAAAUGGUGAUUUUGAAACCCAUGAGAUUUUUGGUUUGUUAUUAUUAUUUUGACAAUGAAAAAAAAAAUAUAUUUUUUUUGUUUUUUGUCGAUUUAUAAUGUGUUGGGGCUUUAUUAUUUUUGCUGAAUUUUAUUUCAUUGUAUGUAAUGUUAAUACUACGUGUAGUUUAAUACAUGAGAAAAUAUAGACUUGAAACCGAAAAGAACCAAAAUAACUCGAACUGAACCGAACCAAAAUUCACAACCGAAACUGAACCGAAUAAAAAAAUUUCAAUUCAGUUUGGUUUUA
rnacentral:lncRNA from 1 species